rnacentral:lncRNA from 1 species
GAGCUGGCUGGUGGUGGCCGAGCGACGGCUCCUGUGUACAGCAGCCUCUCGAACCGCACCUUUAAUUUUAUGAGUGGCUGGAGAUAUGAGCAUUAGGGUCUUGCACCUUUUUUUUUUCUCCCCGUUGUGUUCGCGUACGUAAUGAUGAUUGAGAUGAGCAUUACGGCGGUGUUAUUGCACGUCGACGACGAUCGAUCAUCAUAUCCAGUUUAUGUCAUGCCCAUGCAUGCAUGCUAGCUAAUCUUGUGAAGAUUGUGGGGAAUGUGGAGUGCCAGUUGAGUACUUAUAAAGCAGCUAGCUAUAGGUCGUUGCUUUUCGCGCGUCGAAUGGAUCGGAAGUGAGGGUGACAGCAUAUCGCUCGGAGGAACCGGCCGGCCGGCCGGCGAUCUGGAUAGCUGAUGCAGGUGGCAAACGCAGGGUUCACCCAGCUUGAACAGACGACGACGCCGCCAGAACAGAAGAAGAUGUAGAUUGCGUUUUCAGCAAAAAAAUUUUUGUGUUGUGGCUGCAAGCAGGUAAGUAGCAGUCGUUGACGUCGUCGGCGGGCAAGGCAAGCAAUGCAACCAAACCAUGGAUCGAUCCAUCAGUCAGAACAAGAGGACGCACCGUCGUCGACGACGGCAGGACAGUGAGGGUCCUAGUCGAGGAAACCCGGUUGGCCGGCAUGCAUGUGUUGCGAGAUAAUGAGAACACAUUUGUAAUAAAAGUUUGGCCGGCAGGACGCAGUUGUUGCAAAAUCCAUAGAGUUGGAGAGGAAAUUUUUUUCACUCAAAUAUGAUGAUAUAUCAAACAUCAGAAUAUAUAUUUUUUUUCUUAUAACAUGCCCAUAAAAUUCGGAUACAGGGAGAGUUUUUCAACUGGAGGACCAAAACUGUGAAACUAACCUCGGCUGCAGUUAAUCAAUACUCACUCCAUAUCCAUGAAACUAUAUGAAGUCGCACGCACGGGGUUGCCAUUCUCCUCUGCGCGCUGACCUGUGGCGAGUGACGACCUGAUGACCUGACCUGACCUGACCUGACCAAGCACCGCAACGCACGCACGGAAGAUGUCCACUGACCACUGCCGGGGACAGACAGAAUAAUGCAAUCUUGACCUGAAUUAAUUACGUCGCCGUCAAGAUAUGAUUCCCAGCGACAAGCCGAGCGUAAAGCUAUAUACUAGCCGGCCGCCACCAUGGUGCGUGCGCAUCAAGAGAUCACGUACGGCGGGCCGCCGCCGGAUCACGUAUAUUAUUCACUCGCUGGCUGGUGCGGCCGGGGUGCCGGCGGCCGGCGCGCGCGCGCAGACGUCGCUGCUCGUCCCGGGGCACGCACGCACGGCGCCGCGCGGAGCCGCGGGACGGCGGAGACCACGCAUGCGCAUGCGCAUGCACACGCAGCUUCGUCGAGACCCUCUGGCUGGUACACGUCGGUGGCCGUGAGCUGAGCUCGAUCGUGGCCCCUGUCCGGCCGGCCUCCGCACGUCGCGGCCGGCCAACGUCUCGCUCCACGUACGAGUACGUGGCUGGAGAGAUGAGCAAUAUAUUAUAUAAUUAGGGUCUUCCCAGACAGAACAUGGCUGGAGAAGAUGAGCUUUUUACUUCUGUGGAGGAGAGAGAACUCCGUCCUCCAUCUCGGCCGUCACCUCGCCGCAAGUUGACGCCGCCGGGAGACACAGGCAGCAAGCAAGUCAACGGCGGCGCAUGCAUGCACGGUCGUUCUGCCUGCUCUGCUUCCUUCACAUCACUGCCGAUCGAUCGGUCGGUCGGUCCGCUUCCGCAUGCCCAUUGACGGCCCAGAUACGGAACAGCGUAGGGCUCUUGGGCGGGGCUGUAUCCACGCUGUAGCUUUAGGUACGGUAGGCCUCUCACAGCCUGAGUGAUCCUUGCAACUGUGUAUGACGUGUACCUCAAAGUGGUCACGUGUUUUUUUUUUCUUGUUCUCCUAGUCGCGAGUGAGUUGUAAAGAAAACUAGGAGCAUUCUCCGCGCGUUGCUGCGGGUAUGAAGGGAGAAUAUAAAUAUAGCCUCACAGUAGUAUAUUGAGUCAUCUAUAUAUAAUUUUAGUAGUCAGCUUCAGAAGAGAAAAAGAAGAGAUCACGUGAGAGAAUAAUUGCUAGCAGUAUGCAUGUAUGGUCAUGUGUAGGUAGUUGCACCCAUUAUUGAAAUCAUUUGUGAAUGGACACUUAAUUGCAUGUAGAAGCAGGAGAAGUGGAUGAUGAUGUGGUGUAAGGAGGUGUAAGAGAAUUAGUUUAGUGGGGUUUGUCUUUAUAGGAUAUAUAGAUACUUAUGUUCUGAUAAAGUAUUUGUUUCGUAGAAAAAAAAAAGGCUAUAUGAUCAGCUUCUCAAGUGGAGUUAAAACUGUUUUGGUGAAACGUUUUACUCCUAAUAGUUCAUGAAAAAAUUAAUAUCUUUUUCCUUUGCGAAAUGAAUAUCUAUUAGACCAACAAAGACCAUUGGUCCCGUUUUAUAUAAAUCAAAAGGGGGAACCAUUAAGUUCAGAGUGCCCAAGGCACAAUCCUCUGAGCGAUCGACGGUUCAAACAGACCCUCUGACACGAAAUAAGGCAAACCCUCUAGGCCAACAGUUCUUGGCGAACGAGAAGACAAAAGAACAAGUAGAAUUACAUCCCAAAAGAACGCUACACAGAGCGCUAAAGUCAUGAUGACAAGAUAAAGAACGAAAGCAUUGCACAGCUAGCCUUGCCCGCUUUGCUCCAAAUGUCCUGAAAGUCUUUCUGCCGUCUUCGAAGCCCAUCUCUUAUUUGUCACCCUUCUCCUAUUUUUCUUUCUUUCUUUCUUUACCUUCUCUCCUUAUCCGCUUGCCCCUCCACAUCUGCAGCACCUCCCUUGCCUUUGCCUCAGCUCCACUCGUGCUUCUUUGCCACCACCUCGCAUGAAGGAACCUGUCAUUUGCCCUACGCUCUGCUCUGACCAUCGCCUGCAUCGCCCUUGCGCAAAGGAGGAGCAAUUUUGGAGAGGAUCCAUGUGUGCACGGACGGAGUAGCUUGGGAAGCCAUUUUUUUGCUCUCAUGGUCGAUCCUGACUCCAGCUACAUCUAGUGUUUUUUCUAGGCAGAGUGUAGAGCGGAACAUAGAAUAAUUACUAGUUGGACUAAAAAUUAGCUUAAAUUAAUUGAGAUUAGCUAGUUAGUUGGCAAACAAUUAGUUAAAGAUUCGGUUAAAAAAAUUAGUCCAUCUAUUAACCAUUUCUAUUUAGAUAUACUAGAGCUAAUUUUAACUAAAUUUUAGCCAGCUGCUCUGAAAGGAGGGCGGUCCAAGCCCGGCAUAGAAUAUCCAAGGAGCUGUAUAUUUUUGGGAAUCGGAGAAUAUGAUCGCUAAGCUAGCUAUUGCUGUCAAGUGUCCGGAAAGAUGCAUGGCAUCGACAACGAAACUUGCCUAAGCAAAAAAGGGCCGGGGAUCUGGAUCAGAACGAGAGGACGGUAGGAGAGUGAGGGUCGCAUUGCCGCGGAUUCGAGGAAACCGGUUGGCAUGCAUGCAUGUGUAAUGUGUUGCAAGAUUUUCUAGAUUCGGCAUGUCAUUGUCUAACCAUAACUGUAUAUAGACGGAGUGUGAUCUUGUAUUGGGCUGGAAUUAUUGGUCAAGUCGUCUGUGUGGUGCCCCUGCUUUUGAUUCAUAACAGAGGUCCAACGCAACUCGCGGCUUUUCCUUCUUCUUAGAGAUGCAAAGCAGGCAAGUUGCUUAUGAACUUGUAAAUAGGCUUGGAUUUUACGGGUUAUUCAAAAAAAAAUUAAAACUAUUCACAGGUUCACGAGUAAUUUGUCUUUGCAUCGUCCUUGCUUUUUCACCUUUACCUCUGAACGUAGCAUUGAUUUGUCAUCAAACCUUCUACCUCAUUGCCGCCCUCCUAGUUGUCUUUGCGUUGUACUGCUCAAGGUUAUGAGAUUCACACCAAAUGGGCCAAAUUCCAUUGAAAUUCAUCCAACUUGGCAAGGUCCGGACAAAAUAAAACUGGUAGAAGCAAGUUUGGCCAGAUUUGAAUUUUGUGGCCCCCAAGAUCCAUAAAAACCCAAAAGAUACAUCCCCUCAGUAUUAAAGCAUGAACCUCGCUCCAAAAAGCCUAGAUUUUUUUCAUUUUCCCCUCCUCUCCCUUGGCGGCCGGCAAAUAGUGAGCCACUUUAGAUGUAGUGGCGCGGCAAUGACUAACCUCACCUUUGGCCUCCUCUUUUUCCUCCACCUUUGUGUUUAAUCUCCUACUCAUGGAGGUUUCACGAGAUCAAAUGGUGAAGCUUCAUUCAGAUUUGUUGUUCUUAUUUCUUCAGUUCUCUUCCCUCUCAUACAUAUAUUCUCUGUUUGUCCCUCGUGACGCGUGUGCUUUAGCACUGAACAAUAUGGUUAGAUGUGGCGAUGAUGCGAUUAAAUUACAGCAAUGCUAUUUGUGUAAUAACCAGGGGGCAAACUAUGAACUUGAGUCAAAUUUUGGUAAAACAAAGCUAAACCAUGGUCUGAAUUUUGUCUGUUUGAUAGGCUCCGAAGUUUUUAUUUUUCAAUAUUCCUAUAGAACCCUGAUCCCGCUGACCACACCUGACGUAGCUGAGUAGCUGACCCUUAGUGUACAUGGUGGCGCAAAAGAUUUUCCACACGCCGAGAGCAAGAAAAAGAUAUUGACCUGAAGCAAAGCAAGCACCGAAGCAUGCAGGUACGUCGUCGUCAAGAUUCCACCGGAAAAUCGGAUCAGAGGCGGCACCGGCGCCGCCCGUGCAUGCAUGUCAUCAUGUCAACAUCACAUGCGCGGCAAUCCGGCGACAACAGCAAUCACAAUCCCGAUCCAAAUCCGGACGAAGCGCCACCCGCGCGUAGACGCAGCUAGUGCCCUGCCAUCUGCACCUCACUCAGGGAUGAGGUAAUAUACUUAUUUGCGUAUAUGAAUAUUGAUAUUAUUUAAUAUAUUUUAAGUUAAAUUUUAAAAAGUUGACUCCUCGAGAAAUGAGAUGUGCAUUUAUUCGCGAACGGAGAGAGUAUGUUUCAUACUUAAUACAAUGGUUACAGGUACAAGUGUGCUUAGUGGGAGUCACAUUUAGAUAUAUAAUAAUAAUAUCUUUAUGAUUUUAUUACUCUUUUUGAGUCAUUUUGACUUAUUAGAUACUUAACAAAAGUUAUGGAUCUAAAUAUAGUGUAUGUCUAAGUGCAUAAUAAAGACUAUAUACCUUAAAAAGUCAUAGCGACUUAUAAUUUAGAACAGACAUGAAUAUUUCUCGCUCUACAGAAUUCCUACACAUGUGUGAUAUCAUUUAGUUUUCUAUUACAAGAAAACAACCACUCACGCUUGAGGCUCCUACUAAGUGGAUUCUGUUUUUUUUUUUGUUCUUUUAGAGGAAGUUAUUCUGUUCGUGCGAAACUGAUUUAAGAUCGCUUGGGCCAAUGUAGCAAUUCAUGUCCCAAAAUCCAACAACUAAGUGAGGCCUAAUAAACUUGUGGUCUUAAUUGAUGGUUGCUUGCACACGAAGCUGGUUUGCAUAUGAUACGUUGCCCUAAUAAAAGGCCUGUAUAUGGCUCCCGGGCCUCUGAUUUUCCCACAAGAGAGGCGUUUUCCAACCUUUCCCCAUGAUGAUAUAACCUGGGCCCAUGCCUUUGUUGGGCUUGCAGGACGAAACUUCCAAACGCCGGCCCAAGGCCCAAGCAAGCCCGGCCCGCCAUUUUCCAUCCACUCGCCGUUCUCCGACACACCACACAACACUGGCCGGCCGCGCGGCGGAUCGCCGCCCCUCGCAUCCUCGUCGCGCCGCCGCCGCACCGCACGUGUUCGACGGAAUGCCCCCCGCCGGGACCCGGCAGAGGUACUAGCCAUUCCCCUUCCCCUCGCUCGCUACAUUGCAGGUGCCGUUCAGUGCGCUCUCGCGUCCAGUUGUUGCUGCCGCGAUUUCUGCAUCCCUUGAAAAGUUGAAAUCCCUGUGGUUUCGAGGAAACGUGAGCGUUUUCGAAUUUCGACGGAGGGUUGUGACUUAUUGUUGAGCUCGCGUCGUCGUUGUCUGUGUGGACCUGUGUCGCGCUGUCCCAUGCGCGCCACGGGAACGCCUUGCGAUGAGCUCCUCCUGCUGCCUGGCUGCUCUGUAUUGGCUCUCGUGCACCAGUUGGGUUGUGAGAUGGAUGUGCUGUGGCUUGUGGCUGUUUCCAGUUGGUGAACAGGUUUUGUGCAAGUUGUCAAGUAGAUGUUUCUAGUAUGGGCCCGAUUCAUUGAUGGAUUGAUUAAUAACACAAGCUGAGGAAAACUCAUUUUGAAGCAACAAGCUUGCUCACAAGAUUAACUGCAGAUGUGAUUCGCCUGAUGUAGAUGAUUGUCUAACUGAAUAGCCACUGUAACACCACAUUUCAAAUUUCCUCUAAGUUCUGAUAUAAAUACAGGAACCUCAUGACCUGCAGAGAUUCCAUCCACGCAUUCCUUCCAGAAGAUGGCAGCCCAGGUUACUGGACACCUAGUCACCGUCGUCGUGGUCGUCAGAACUCAAUAGUUUUUCUACGUUUUAAGGAUGGAUGAUGGUCAUGUGGGGACUUCUGCUGAUUGAGAAGGACUGAACGAGAAGGAGCAAUCGCCUUCCCGUGGUACUGCCUGUCAUCAUGUGCCAAAUUAUUGUCACGUGAGUAGUGACACUGCUGCUCCAAAGAUCUAUGUCAGGGCUUACAAUGACAGGUUCCUCAUCCAGGUCAAUAAUGUCGUGCUACCGGCCCCAUCUGGUGUAAUAUCAGCACUAUCAUCUUGAACUGUGCGUAGCAGAUGGAAGCGCAGGUGUGGGGGCUGGGCCUUGCUCAUCUGAAGUUCUGAACGGAUCUCUAUCUUGUAUGUCAGUUCUGUUAUUACCGUAACACUGUAUGUUCUUAGCUAUGCUAAUUUUGCUGUUGUAGAAGUUCGUGUGGGAGUUGGAUCUCUUUUCCGCUUUGUUUUCAUUCGAUUGAGCACUGUACUCGCUGGAUACUGUUACUGUACUGCAGUACACGACGAGCUCCUGAAAUUUUGUUAGGUUCUCCUUUGCUCAGGUACUCUUCCUUUUAUGCCCUUCACAAUUUUUACUCUUCAGUAGUUAGCUAGAUUCUGUGUUGCAGUUUGUUAUAUUGCGUGAACUUCAUUUUUAUUGGAAUAGUAUUAUUGUUGAACAUACCCAUCUAGGUUUUAUAUCCAUAUUGCUUUUAGCUUGAGUGAGGCUCUUAGAUUUUGACAAUUUUUUUAUUGUAACUUUAGUUUGCAGCAAUAAUUGUUUACUGUCGGUCUUAGCACCGGCAUGGCAAUGAAAUGGAAUAUUCUAGAAAUAAUCACGAUGACGAACACUUUUGCGCCACUUUUAAUAAUUAUCUAAUGGCACACAGUUGUUUCGACUUUGCAAGCACAUGUUAUUUUUCAUUUUUUUGAAAAUGAACUGCGCUAUUCAAUACUAUGCCACAGGCGGUUUCUCUGUCACUGGCGCGUUGUUAGCAGCAGUGUAGUGUUCUUGUGAGGUUAAAGUGUGUGUGUUUGUGUGGGUAUUUUGUGUGUGUUGUAUGGGUUCUUGUCCCCUUUUUUUAUCUUCUUAAUAUAAUGAUGCGCAGCUCUCCUGCGUUUUCGAGAAAAAAUACUAUGCCUUUCCCUGUUUUUUAAAAGAUUUCUGUACUUUCAUUGCUCAUAAAUAAAUAUUAAUGUGAUUUUGCUACUAGCAUGUUGUUUCUGUUAUGAUUACUGAUUAGCCUCCUUUGAGGAUCUUGAGGUAUUCAUUAUCAUCGACUCCAAUAUUUGUUCCCACACACUCUAGUACAGAAAGAUUUGUAUGAUGUGAGGAAACACAAAUCAAAUCUUUUUUUUUUCAUUUGUUGGCAUUUAACAACUUACUAAUAGCUAUGGGUGAUUUCUGCACCAUAACGCGUUGGAUCAUGCCAUUUACUUACAGAGACCAUUGGUUUACUAUCUGUCCAUGCGACAUCUGGUUCUCAAAGCAGGCACAAGAACCACUAGCAACGAUUUUAAAAGUGACAAACAUUGCAUAUAAAAGGCCAGUUAUCAGGCUCACCACUAGCCUUUUCUUGAAGACCAUGCUUGUUCAUAACCUUGAGGAGGCAGUGGCUUCUUGGAAAGCAAGGAAAUCAAGUGGUUGAUUGCCUGAUGGAUGUAUCAUGGGCAUUUUGUUGGUCCAGUCUGAGUUGGCCCCCCUGUGUGCCAGUUCGUGGGUCGGGCCUCUACUACGCAUUUUCCCAGAGGGGGACCAUCUCUUAUAUCUGCUGCAUCCUCAUCUUGGUGGCUUUCAAUCUUGUGAUGGUUACUUCUAGUGCCCCACCAUCAUGGCGUUGUCAUAUGUAUUCUUUCUUUGGUAGCCCCAAGUUUUGCAUCCAUGCAGCUGAGUCUGCAAUGAAACUGCUAGGUUGAGCAUCAAAAGGUAAAAGUUGAAAGAUUUCUGUGCAUAUUUUACAUGGAUGACGUGAUUAAACUGUACUUUGUAGUCGGGACCCUUUGAUAUUUUUCUUUUCCUCGGUAUGUGUUAAGUAGGGUGGGUCUACUUUAUCAUUAUGGCAGUCACAUGACCCAUUUGUGCUGAUGUUAAGAUAAAAAAUUUGGUGUUCAAAAGUCUUAAUCAUGUAACCCUGGGAUAAGGCUCAUCUUUUGCCACUAAGGAAAGAACCCCGGCACAUGGCUUGUGCUCUAGACUUCUUAGUAAGCAGACAGGAAAUCUUGUUAUUGAUACGGUAGUUAACCUACUUGUUUAAUCAUCAUUACCGCAGUUGCCACAAAACCCAUUCAGAUGAAUCUGAAACCUGCGCAGUCAUCAUUCCAUUAAUCAAUCUAAUGCUCUGGCACCAUGUUUAACAGUUCUGCCUCUGUUCUGUAUCUAUAGCAAAUAAAUACCUAGCUUGAGAUACUUACAGUAUCCCGUGGUCUUUAGGCUAUGAACUAAGUAACUAACAAGUGCAUGCUACUGAGUUACAUGAGAUACUUAUUAGUUAAGUAUAUUAUAGACUCUACGUGCAUGUAUUUGUCUUUAUCUUUGAUGUGUUUCACAAAUUGAUGCUACAGUAAUCCUUUUGGCUUACCCUCGGUUAAGAGCCAAUGUUUAGUUAGUUGAUACUCCUCUAGGUGUCUACUUCAUUUUAUUGACUGGCUGUCUAAGUAAUAAACUGUUGUUAGCUCUGUACGAGCUAUUUUUUGCCCCUUCUUUACAUAAGCAACAAAAGUAGGAGACAGUCCUCUGUUUUUCUUUUGAUACAUGCUGUAAGGAAUCUUCAUGCUUAUUGGAGUUUUGUAGCCUUUUGUGUCGAACCUUGCCCCUUAGACCAUCAACUUAGUCAGCCUUUUCUUAGUAUCCUACUAGGGCAAUUGAUCCCACUUGCACACUUAAACUUUUGUUGCACCUUUCCUUACGCCUCGUUUAGUUUCAAAAAAAAUUUACAAAAUGGAUACUGUAGUACUUUCGUUUGUAUUUGACAAAUAUUUUUAAUUAUGGACUAACUAGGCUCAAAAGAUUCGUCUCGCAAAUUACAUACAAACUGUGCAUUUAGUUUUUUCUUUUGUCUAUAUUUAGUGCUCCAUGUAUGUGCCGCAAAAUUUGAUGUGACGGGGAAUCUGAAAAAUUUUGCAAAGUUUUUUGGAAACUAAACAAGGCCUAACCAGGGAACAAAAAGGUGGAGACCAGCUUUAAAAGAUUAGGACAUGAAAAUCCCCAGGUGUCGGCAUCACUUAUGCCCCCAUCAUUUCUAUAAAAUUGAAGGUCUGUGAUUUUUCUAUGUAAAUUAUCACUGUGUCUAUGUAUCCUUUAUGCCAUUAUUUAAGGGUAGUAAUUUCCUUUUCUUUCUUUGAUUAUGCUCCUCUCAUCACUCUUGUAGCCACCCAAAAAUUUAUAAACACAACACUUUCAUUCCAUUUAUCGUGAUAGUUCCAUUCACCUGCCAAAUUAACCAUUGACUGUUACUUUGCUGUUGGCCUAUUUAUUUUUCUACUGAGUGGGCAGACUACCUCCUAUAGAUAACCUGUUAGGUUCAAGAGAAAGCACACUUAAAUGGUUAAAUAAUUCUGAGUCUCAUGACACCAACAAUGAAAAAUUUCGACAACCUUGCAAUAAUUGCUAUUGGGUGACGAAACAAUACAUAUUUGGGCAAAACUCUGAAACAGAGUUUUUGUCAUUUAUCUCACACAAACGUCCUAUCUGACGGUGAUGGUGUGGAAGGUCAUUGCUUGCAAAAUGUUGGGCAUGUAAGGGAGACCGUCGCUAUUGACAGCAUAAAAGGAUUAGCACUCAAAAUAUUGUUAUGCAAGUGACUGAUUUUCGCCUAUAAUCUUCCAUAACUGGAUUGCCACCUUUUUUUUCGAGAAAAGGUGAAAUACAUUACUUUUGCACAAUUGUCUACUUAUCCCUUUAUGUGAAAGCAUUGCACCACUAGUUGAUUGCAGGAUAGAACAGUAGAAGUAAGGAGACGGGGGAGGGAACAAAAUCCCCAUGGGGAUAUUUCAUUGUUUCUUCAGGAGGCAGGCACAUCAACUUCACAGUUUGUACUCUAUUGGACCCACAUAGACAUAGGUACAGAUGACACAUACAUACACAUCUCUGUCUGUCUCCUUUGAUCUCCCUCACAACUUGAUGUUUCCUGAAACCUCCCACGCAUGCCUGCUUGCCAGAUCCCGUACAGUAAGUAGGGUUUCUGGAAGCCAUGGAAAAAAAAUAAAAACAGAACAGCAAAAGGCAGCAUUCUGGGGAUGGAAGGAAGAUUGCCCGGGAAACAAGGGAUCUCUCCACUUCCUUCCUUUUCCUUGCACAGGUCAAUUCAAACCUGUCACUUUGUGCAAGUAGUACUAGGCUGCUGCUAGCAACUACUUUUGUUGUUUGGAUUCUGCAAGCAUAGUCUUAAAUCUGCUCAUCAUGUUGUUAUGGACUACUCCUGACAUAUUAAAGUUCCAAAACUCGUUAGCUAGAGAAACAUUUAUAUAUGAUGCGUCAAAUUCUGAUGGAUUUUCAGUGCUGACCAGUUAUUGGAAGUGUAGGGGCUUUGGUGCAUGUAGCCAUACAUUGCCGUUGGUGUCUCUGGCUCCAGCUCCGGUCCUGGACCGCAGUCAAGGUUCACGCCGAACAGCCGGAGCUGCCGUGACGACGGUGCUGAAGCUGCACUGCAACUCCUGUUGUCUCUGUCCGAUUGAGAUUCUCCUGCAAUUGUUCAGCAGAAAUCGUGUAAGAGGUAUCAGAAGACUACGUUACAGACCUUUCUUUAACUUUUGCUAUCAGUCUUUUUACCUGCAUGUUGCAUGUUGCUAUGGUCAUGGUCCACUGAGUGACGGUAGGCAUGGGAAUUUGCCGGGCUGGUUGGGUAUGAGCCUGAUGUGCUGUAGCACAUUGGGCUCCAAGGCUGCUGCUCUCCGCCGCCAGUGCUCUGCGCAGGUGCCACCACGCGCACGGCAGGCGGCGGCGGCGGCGGCGGCGGUGCCGCAGCCACCGUUGCACUCUCACCAUGACGCCUGUAGCUGAUGAAUAGGCGGUCACCCAUGCCAAAACUACGCAUCCUCUCGAAGUGCACCACGUCGCCAGCGUCAAGUUGCUUCUCCUUGACGUACCGGCUCCAGCCCUUGGUGAGCACGUAGCUCUGGCUGCUCGUCCAAUACGAGUACCGAAACCGCCAUGGCUUGCCAGCCUCGUCCUCGAAGGACAAGAUAAGGCCUUUCUCACCAGAGUCGCCACUGAGAGGGAAGUACCUUUCGGCAUGCUGCUUGGGGAUCACCAGCCUGUUGAGCUUGCCCACGUCGCUCGGCGUCAGGGGCUUCUCGAACAGGUGCUCCUUCUCGUAGUGGUGUUGGUAGUGUAGGUUUGUGUACAUGGCCACACCCCAGGGCCAGGCCUGGGGGUGCUCUUGGGAGAGAUGAUUCAUGGCCAUUCUUCUGCUGGAGGAAAGAAAGAGUUAGCGGAGCCAAGGAGUGUGUGUUAGGUUCCUGUCUGCAGCGAAAGCUUGCCGGUGGGGAGGAGUAGCAGUGAUGGUGUGUCGCGUAGAGAACCAUGCAGGUGUCUUGGUCAGGCAUUUAUAGCCUCCCAAGCAGGACUUUGGGAGCCUCUAUGCGAUGUAGUAUUAAUAUUUCCCUGGUACAUAACAUGAGGUCUCGAUGCAUUUGAUCUAGCUUGGAGGAGGGCAGGAGUUUUUAAUCUAGGCUAGACAGGAGGAAUCAAAGUGACGGGCUUCAGAGGUGCUGAGGUUAGAAUAUGUAAUCUGAGCGUAGCUGAUGAGGGGCGAUCAGGUGGUGGUACUUCAAAGUUGGUGCCUGGCCAUUGUGGCCUAACCACAGCCAUCCAGGGAGGUGGAGAGGAGUAGGCCCUACCAUUGUUUUCCAUGUGCUCUGGUGGUUGAAGCCUACGUGAGAGCACUGUCAUUAGCUCCCCAUUUUUAUCUGCACGAGUGUAGGUUUUUCAGUUCGAUCUGUCUCUAGGACGGUGAAAGAAAGUCCUGGUUGUAUUAGGUUCUGAAGCUUGUAGAGUGUGGACUGUGGAGGCAUGAGGUACCCUAGGCUAGAUUAGGUGAAAAGAUGCGUCCAUAGAUUGGCAGCAGUUUCAUACCUGUGGUCCGGGUGGAAUAGCUGGUGGGCAAUUACUUGUUAAGGGUACUGAUCUCGCAGGAUGUGACACUAGAGGCGUAUGGACCGUGUGCUCUAACUAUCACGCACUAUUUUGUACUAGUACCAGCCAUUUUCUGAUCUCAGAUUCAAUACAAUCAAGGGUUUUGUCAGGCCUGUCUCAUUGAAUAGGUGGCUGACCACCUAAUAAGGCAGCAAGACUUCCAUGCAACAAGCUGGUUCGGGUUGGAUUCUUACACAAUUGAUGGAAUGGGCUGUAAGAUAUUAUUUUCUCAUUCAAACCAUCCUUGUAGGAGAACCUGCCUCUGCCUCUGUUGAGGACGCUAGGCGGGUACCAAUUGCAAAGAGAGAAUACUCUAUUUCUCUCUGUUAUUAGCUAACCUUUUGUAAGGACCGGUGCUCUUCUCAACAUGGCAUUGGGCAUUUGGGGAGCACCUCUUGUUGUUGGAGGAUUGGGAUGCAGAACAGUUUAUGAUCUGUUUUCUUACAUUUUUAAUGACAGAUCUGUAUCAAACGCUGUAUAAUAUGUAGGACAAAAUCAGCAAUGUCGCUUUGCUUGGUACUUUGGAGACAAGUAUUCCAUCAUAUGGUUAUGAGAAGCGUAGUACAUGGUUAGAUACAUUGUAUGAUGACUAAUAUAUGCUCUUGUGAAAUUAUUCAGUUUGUCAACCUUUGGGAAACCAGAGGGGCCAUUAGGGUCCCUCCUCCUGUUAGUAGGUACGGUCAACAGACUAUAGUGACGGAACGGAUCUUCAAAGAUGAUCACUCCGUUCAUUCUGUUACUUGGCUCUUUCUAACAUUUAUAAUUAGAUUAUUAGGUUAGUUCCACAAAUUUGGAAAUCACAGAUAUUUAUUUUUAUUCUGACCCAGCUUUUUCUUUUGGAUCCAGGACCAGAGAAUUGGGGAUAUGCGAUUAUUAUCUCACGUGGCAUUAACCUUAUCCGUCCUGCUUUCUGUUCCUGGGGCUUCAAGUUCCCAAGCGCCACAAUAUUCGAACAUUGGAAUGGGAAAUAGGAUCAAGAUUGGACCUGGACAAAGAUCUGCCCUGUCCAAUUUCCAAAAGCUUUUCGAGUCAGAUGGUAUGAUUUUUGUCCCAAGCUCGUCCUUUCUCAUUGAUGCAUGUAUACAACUCACAGCCCUCACAGUUCCUUGCCUCCAUUUGAGACGUUAUUCUUAACUUUGUUGUUUUCUGUGUUCAUGAACUUUGGAAUACGCAGCAACUGAAGUUACUAAUCACUUGCUACAUGUACAGAUGCAAUGCAAAAGACUAGUAUACUCGAUGGCAUGGCAAUGGCAUAGGUAAUCUUGAUUAAACUAUAAUUAGUCUAUAUUUAGCAUCUCUUGGAGUAUGAUGAAACAAUUGAGUUCAGUUUGGUUGGUGGAAUCUGUCAUAUAAAAGCUUUCAAGGGUACUCCAUUGCAGCUCGAUGGAAAUGAUGAGCCCUUGUUCGCUAAAGUCGACUAGGCUUGUAGAGUCCCAUGUGUUACAUUUUGCAGUGGCCUCAUGAGGAUGGGAUCAUGAGAGGGAGACUUCAUGAACAUGUCCCAUUAUAAAAGUUCUCAUGACCAUUCAAACCUAACAGGAAGACUUUGUGAAAAAAAACUGAAAGAAAUUUACACAUGAAUUCGAUAGUCUUGUAUUAGUAUUAUUGGCAAUAGCAUAUAUAUUUGCACGUAUUACGUUGACCAAGACUGAAGAUACUAUAUGGUUGAAUGAGAAUUUAUUAAACAUGUGUCAGGAUGCACUACUAGAUUGUAAACUACACGGGAGCUCAUUUUGCAGCACCGGAACAGUGCAUGCAUGUCCGUGUCCUGGGCUAUGAAUUUUGACCAGAGAGUGCGUGAUAUUUAAAAGAUGACCAUGCGAGGUACCAGUAGGGAACCACGCAGCAGGGUCCUUUUGCUAACUCAAUCAUGCAGCUCACCUGCCCCUCCUUCCCAAUGCACAAGAGCUUUUGAUAAUGUAGGUUUGGUUUCUCCAUGCACAUGAAUGAUUUGGUAUCUUGUGGGAAUUGAAUACAAGAUAACUCAAGAUAAGGGGACACAUGCUAUUGCCCCUGGGUUUUGUUUAUUGUUGUGGUCUCGGGUUCCCUUUUUCGUACGGCCAUGCCUGUUUGGCCACAGAGUUCAUGCAUGCAUAUGCAUUGGGCUGAAAAACCAAACCCAUGUUACUCUCCCCCUGUUCAUUCUCCCAAAUGCGGCCCUGGAAAUGUGCAAUCAAAGCCUUGCCCAUUUGGACCUCUGAAUGAUGGCAUUCAUUUAUUAUUAGCGAGACUAAACUAAGUAAUUUACAUUUACAAGUUGCUCUUUUCGAUCUAAAUUGUAAGUCGUUUUGGUAUAUUUUUUUAUACAUAGAUGUUAUUAUGCAUCUAGAUAGUGUAUAUCUAGGUACAUACCAAAAGCUAUAUAGCAUCUAGAAAAGUCUAGAAUAACUUACAUACCAAGAUUGUGGCAUUGAAAAAAUGCUUGCAUAACCAUUCAGCAUUGAUCAUACUAUUACAAAACACGCGCUAAUUUGACAUGCACUUGCUUUUAAAACUCUGUGUCUGCUAGGAUGGAUGCAUUGCAUCAGUGUAAGCUGCACGAGCGUGAUAAAAAAAGCGUUUAUAUAUACACGCCGGUCCUGUUGUGGUUCCUGCAUGGCAUUGGCACCAAUAAUGGCGGGCAUCAUGUGGCUAUCAUGGCGAAGUGCUCGCUCACUCACAUCACAUGCCCUAGAAAACCUCUGAACCACCCCAGUGAAUUCUGCUCUGGCUCUUACAAGUUAUAUUGGGGAAAAAAAAAAGGAGAACAGAAGGUAAAGACGCCGCCGAUUUUACAUUAUUCCUUGUUGCAUACACCUGCAUCCGUCGGUGCUUUGCUUGCUUGCCUGCCUUUUGUAAGGAGGCAAGCAGCAGCAUCCAGGAGCACGCACAUCUUGCAAGAUUUUUUUGGUUUUUGGGUGCGUAGCGUAGGAGUACGUGGUGGUGGUGGCAGGGACCAUUCCUCCAACUGAUGUCAUUUCAUUUCUCACAUCUCUCCACUUGUGCUGCUGUUGUAGGCGACGCCGGCGAGGCUAAAGGCUGCAUAAAGCUUUUUCCUUUUGGUACCACGUUGAAGACGUACUACUGCAAGUGCGUGUGUGCACAUUCGACUUGCAAUGCUCUCUGAUCUCUUGGAGGUACGAGUACUAGGGUUUACCUAAAACCAAAAACUUUUCAAGAUUCCUCGUCACAUCAAAUCUUGAAGCAUAUACAUGAAGCAUUAGAUAUAGACGAAAAUAAAACUAGUAGAUGAAUCUUUUGAGCCUAGUUAAUCUAUGAUUGGAUAAUAUUUAUCAAAUAAAAACAAAAAUACUAUAGUGUCGAAAUUCGAUUUUUUUGGGAACUAAACAAGGCCUAGGCAGCUAGCGUAUCUUUGUGUGCAGUGCAGGGCAAAGCAGAGGCGUAGACGAUCCGUGCCGUGCCUGCCGCCUGCCUGCGCCGGUUCUGCUUUUUUUCUCACGCACUGAUGAACUGAAGGCUCCUCGCUGACGUGACGGUGAAGAGAAGGGCGCGCCUGCCCUUUUUUCUCGCCGCCGUGGGCAGUGCCUAGGCCUGCACCGGCGUUGCAUGCACGGCCGUGGUGCGGUGCGGUGCCGGCUCCGGGCUCCAUCGCAUUCUUUUCAGCGAGCAUUGGAGAGGCCAAGGCCUCGGUGGUGAGGCAGAGAUGGGGACAGAGCGGACAGCAGGCGGUUGUGGCGAGGCGUGAGCGCGUGCACAGUGCCCGAAUUUGUGUGUGCAUGACACUGUGGACUGUGGAGGCUCCAUGGAUGGAUGGAUGGUGGGCAGUGGUGUCAUCAGUCAUCACCCGUGGCCAUGUAUGGGCAUAGGCUGGUUGCAUGCUGAGAACAAAAGUUCCUGCUCCCAUAGGGCUUUUCAGCAAGCUAAAGGGUGGGUUGGUUGGUUGGUUGGGUGUGGGUGUGGGAGUGGGAGUAUAACACCGGUUGGAUUUUAUUCUUGGUGCCUUGUUGCCCAUAUUCAUGUGGAUUUGUUGGACCAUUUUGUUGUCCAGCUUGAAUCCCUAGCAGUGGCGGAUGUAAGAUUUCAAUCAUGGAGGUCCAGACGAAAGCGAUAUAGUUCAUCAACAUAAAUAUAACAUAAUUAGAUGACUAAAUAAUGAUAAAAUAGUUGUGAAGGUAGAGUGUUGAGGCUGUUAAAUGAGCUAAGCAGACAAUUGUAUAUAAUAAUGUAUUAUACAUGUACAUGUUGUUAAAGGAUAUAUAUGCUAAGUGUUUUUCAAAAAAUUUUGGGCCUACUGUAGAUCCGCCCCUGAUCCCUAGCUAGUUGCUUGGAUUCUUUGCUAGCCUUUGUGUUGCCUUCCGUGUUUAGUUGGUGUAGAAAAAAAUUUCGCGACACUGUAGCACUUUCGUUUGUUUGUGAUAAUUAUUGUCCAACCAUAGACUAACUAGACUCAAAAGAUUUGUCUCGUAUAUUUCGACUAAACUGUGCAAUUAGUUUUUACUUUCGUUUAUAUUUAAUAUUUCAUGCAUGUGUCUAAAGAUUUGAUGUGUUGAAAAGUUUUGGGUUUUUAGGUGGAAGUAAACAAGGCCCUAGAAAUCGUAUGUAAAUUUAGGGUCGGCUUGCUUCGAGGAAUGUCUUGUCUCACCUCGCUGCGUAUAAUAGUGUCUGUCAAACAAACCAAGCAGCCUCUUAGACUGUGCACAACAUAGCGAUGGCAACAAAAAAAUUAUACCUGACACUAGACACCGGCGCCUGAACUUUUCAAUCCCCACAGUAUAUAGGCACCGAUGCUUGCAUGCACAUGGACCCUGACCACAAUAUCAUCUCCUUCCGUCUCGAUGCUUGUCUGCACUUGAGAUAUAAUUUUUGAACCUUCCAAGCACCGGUGAACCUACAUGAUUCGGCUCAUGUGUUUUGGAAGCCACAACGUUUCUACCCGAUGCCUGACACUCUCUCUCUCUCUCUCUCUCUCUCUCUCUUCAUUGAGGCAUCGCCCAAACACCACAUUAUGGCCAGUCUUAUGUUUGGUUCUUGAGCUAGCUUACCUCGUAGUCUGUGCGAACAAGUUUUUGGCUUGGGCCUUGUUUAGUUCACCCAAAAACAAAAAACUUUUCAAGAUUUUCUGUCACAUCGAAUCUUGCGGCAGAUGCAUAGAGUAUUAAAUAUAGACAAAAACAAAAACUAAUUGUACAGUUUGCCUGUAAAUCACGAGAUGAAUUAUUUAAGCCUAGUUAGUCUAUUAUCGGGCAAUGUUUGUCAAACAAAAAUGAAAGUGUUACAGUAACGAAAUUUAAAAUUUUUUCGGAACUAAACGAGGCUUGCUCUUGUGGGAGAGCCAAAAUGGCUCCCCCCUGGCAAGGCAAGGCUUGUAGGCAACCAAGCAGCCGUAACCGUGCUCAUGAAUAAAUCAUGAUGUGGAUGUGGUCCAGUGUCCACUGUCCAGUGCAUUGCAUUGCAUUGCAGAGAACACCUUGGUGCAGAGCAGUGUGCGGGCAUGCAUGAGCAGAGGACGAGAGGUCAAGUAAGAGGACGGAGGUCUCUACCAUUUACCACCAUCAUCUCUAUGGACGACGCAUAUAUAUGGCCAACGGGCCGGUCCGGUCCGACACCGGGCCUCCUCGGGCCACCGGGCCAACCGGACCGGGCCACCACGGGUCACGGACUGGGGGCGCGGCCCAUGGACCGGUCCGCGGACCAUUUUGCCGGACUGGGCCGCCCGUUGAGUCCGUUGCCUCGGGCCGGUCCGUAGCCCGUCUAAUUGAUCACAGUUCACAUUUCAAAUUCAAAUACACAUUUCACAUAAAUCAUCACAGAAUGAAUAUUGAUGAUCAAAAGGAGAGCUGUUAUGUACAAUGCUGCCUCAUUAAAAACCUUUCUAGGUAAAACUCACCUUUGUGAGAAACCCUAGAAAGGAAAAAAGAGUACAGCCAGCUCUCAAAUAGUUUAGGUUCAAGUCUUUCUUACAAAAGCCAACUCAGUGGCUAGUUUCAGUUUCUCACUUACAACAUACAACAUAGAACAUACUUAUAAGUCAUACUACCACCAGUACACUACCAGCCUAGGCGCCUAGCCAUGUCCAAGUCAAGUCACUCCUCGAGGUCCAAGUCCAAGUCACUCCUCCACCUCCAGGAGACCAAAAGUUGCAAAAGCUCCUUAACUGAAACAGAAACACCAAAUAAGUUAGUUGAUGCUGAUGAUGAUAAUGAUGGAGCACAGGAGCAAUAUGUUACCUUAUCAAUUAUCUUCUUACGCUGCCGGUGCCGGUGCCGGUGCCGGUGCCGCUGCCGCUGCCUUCAGGAGGAGGAUCAUCAAUCCAAAGGUUCUUAAAUGCCUCUUCUAGGUCUUUGUCCAGAGCUGUAUGCUGAGCCCUUCUUGUAGCUUGAUCCCAAUCUUUGAUGCAGGUGAGCAUCUCCACAUGCUCAGGCACCAGACGACGCCGGUGGUCUUCGAGUAUUCUACCUGUCAAGCUAAAACAAGAUUCGGAGGAAACAGUAGAAACAGGGACAGCCAUGAUAUCUCGAGCCAUAAUAGAUAAAAUUGGAUAGGUUAGCUUAUGUUCACGCCACCAAUUAAGUAUGUCAAAGUUGUCAUCAAAGAAUGUAACAGGGUCACUGUCCAGAUAAGAUGUAAGCUCACAAACAGCAGAUGGAGCAGCUAAUGAGGAGUCUGGGUCAGGACCUCCAUAGAGCCUACUCCAUGACUGUUUUCCCCUACCAGCAGAACCAGAUGGAGGAAAAACAGGCCUUCUAGGCCUUGCUGUACCAUAUUUGUCCUCAUAUUUGGAAAACAAUCUGGUCAACUCAGAUCUCACAUCACCAUAGUACAAAUUGUAAUCAUUAUUAGUUGCUUUACCAAGUAGUUCUAAGGCUCUAUGGAAUCCUUUCAUCUUAGCUCUAGGAUCCAGAAUGAAUGCAUAUGAAUAAAGCAGUGGGAUUUUGUCCCAAUAUUUAAGGAAUUUCAUCUUCAUAGGCAUUGCAAUUUCUUUGAAGUGUUCAUUUCUCUCAGCUUUUUGCAAAUGCUCAGCAAUAUCAAUCAAGUGAUGCAAAACAAGUGGAGCAGUAGGAUAGUAUACACCAGAAAGAACAACAGUGGCAUCAUAAAACAGUUCUAGGAAUUUAAAUAUGUGCUCAGCAACAUACCAAUGCACAUUUGUCAGUAACAUAUGCUCAGAGUUGUAAUUAGUAUUAAUGAACACAGUAAACACUUCCUUAUAUGGUAUCAGAUGCUUAAGCAUCAAGAAAGUAGAAUUCCAUCUAACAUCCAUAUCUAGGCCAAACUUCCUAGGUGUCAUACCUUUAGCAAUACAGAAUUCUUUGAACCUUGCAAUCCUAUUUUUAGAAGAAUUUAAAAAGUUUAUUGCAGUUCUGAUAUCAUCAAGAUAAUCUUUAAAGACAUCCAAACCACAUUUAACAAUCAGAUUUAUGAUAUGGCAAGCACAGCGCUGAUGCACAAGCAAGUAUUUAACUUUGUUAGGAUCUUCUUUAGUAGGAGUUGGAUAAGAACCAAGAUAACCAAACAAAACAGGGCUAAGAUAUCAUAAGCCUUAGAAUUAGCAGAUGCAUUGUCUAGAGUCACAACAAAGACCUUAUCAACCAAACCAAACUCCUCAAGUACACAAGCAAUAGAAUUAGCAAUGUUUUCACCAGUAUGUUUACAGUCAAUCAAUCUGAAACCAAUUAUCUUUUUCUGAAUCUCCCAAUCAUUAUUAAUAUAAUGGCAAACAACAGAAAUAUAGUCCUCCUUGGCAUUACCAGACCAGAUAUCAGAUGUUAAAGAAAUAGAAGAUGCAGCAGGCAACAAAGAUUUCAUAAGCAUGUCACGAUCUUCAGUAAACAAUUUAGCCAUAUCUCUAGUCGUGGUCUGCCUAGAGACAGAUUUAAAAAGGGGGUUAUGAGCACGCUUAAUGUAAUCAGACCAAGCCUCUGUCUCACCUAUGCUUAAUGGAAGGUCUAGCCUAGCAAUCAAACGAACCAAUUCAGUACGAGCAACCAUAGGAUCAUACACCCAAUUACCUAAACCAUUAGGAUUCAAAGCAAGCUUAGACUGUACCAUAUCAGCAUGGUUCUUUUUUUCAUACAAGAAUUCCUGUGCCGCCUCAAAUGAGCAGUACCAUUAGCAGAUAUAGCAGUGUAUUUUUUAUUGCAAUGUUUGCAAACAGCACUAACACGAACUCCAUUCUCCUUUACCUCAUGGAAGUAAUCCCAAACAACGGAUUUUGCCUUACCAGAGGUAGCAUUAACAUCAUCACCAUCGUUAUCAUCGAUAGUGAUGGGUUCAGAGGCGUCACCUUGUUCCAGAUCGAGGCCGAGGGCGGCCGCAUCCUCGAGGAUGUCGUCGUCGUCCUCGAUCUCCAGGUCGUCGUCGGAGCAUCGCUCCUGGUCGUCGCCGUCGACGGGGACCGGACGUUCUACGUCCGGCCCUUGCGUUGCGAGACCAGCACCGCCCCUCAACGAGGAUGACCCACCCCGGCCCCGGACAAGGCGCUGGCGAUCUCCAGCACCGCCCCUCGACGGUCGCUUAGGCGGCCUGGCCAUGUCCACUCCCGAGGAGGAAGACGCGGCGUCAGGCACAAACCUGGGGACGGAGCCCGGUGCCGGAGAUGCAGAGGUGCAGAGCUCGUCGGCGAGGGUCAACGAUCAGAUCAAAGUGGUAGGGGAAGAAGGAAGGGGGAGGAAAGGAACACGGACUCACAUGGCCAUGGCGCUGGAAGAGGACAGAGGAAAGUAGAGAGAAAAGGGGAUUAGGGUUAGGGCGAGGUCACCAGAGAUCACCGACGCGGAAACGAGAUCGCCGACGCGGACACCAGAUCACCGGCCGCGGACACCACCGUCCACCAGGAGGGUGUGGACUGGGGAGUGGGGAGGGAGGGAAUGGGAUUAGGGUUAGGGCAGCCGGGGGCGGGGGCGCUUAUAUACGCCGCGGGCUGCUACCGGGCCAGACCUUUUCACCGGGCCGGGCCGGUACCGGACGACGGACUGAGGUAGCGGCCCAUGGCCCGACCCGCCUCCCGGGCCGGGCCGCCCGUAGCCCGGUGACACCGGACCGGGCCGUAACUCGGACCGGGCCGCCGGCAGACGGGCCAAAUGGCCAACUAUAACGAUGCAUAUGCAUGCAUGGACAGAAGGGAGGGAGUGCAAUGAUCGAUCGCACACACGCAAGAGCUCUUUCAGACAGAGAGGAGUACAGUCAGCGUGCAAUGCAAGAGCUAGCUAGGUCUAGUAGUACUGCAAGAUGCGAUGAGCAAUGCUGGCGUCAGGGAAGGGGAGGGGGGGUAACGUGCGGCAGGUGCCUUGGGCGCCUGGGAUACGCAUGCACGCACGCUCCUGGAUCUGCGCGCCAUUAUUAUCAGCUACUAGCAUCCGGACACGUACAGGUACGUACAGGAGCUGCACUGCACUGGACGUCGAUCUGCACACCGGCAUCUAGCUACAUGCAUGGUCCAUGCAUGCAUGCAUGCAUUUGUACGUAUAUAUACUAGGUCGGUCCCUUCUUCUCCCUUCCUCCUGGCCGGCUCGCCCACUCUCUCGGCACGGCUGGCUCCUGGUCCGGCCUCCGGACCCCGCGACGGGACCCCAACGUCGUACGCCUGGCCAUUGUUAUAUAUGCUGGUGGUCCGCCGGUGGAAUUAACGUGCCGACAGACACCUGGAUCAUCGCUCCCUGUCGUCUUCCAUCAUCUCCCUCCUCCUGCGACGAUGCAGCAGCCACCAGCACACGCCGUAUCCACCAGCAGCAGGCCCCGGAGCGUGUGAGUCCGGCCGGCGUCUGGCUGGCGGACGCGACUGUUGUUGGUGACCGGCUCGGCUCGACUAGCUGCUGAUGAGCCCCCUGCUCCCUGCUUUUGGUCCUGGGGCUCCUGCAUGCCGUGCACAGGGCAGGCAGAUGCAUGCCCACACAUGCAAGCUAGCGAGCUCCAUGCUCAUGCUCAUGCAUGAAUUGAUUUCCCCCCGGCCGGGCCACUUGCUUGUGGUUGUGUGGCGCCUCCAAAUCCAACGCAAUCAGCAAUCAUGCAGGUGACUGCAUGAACCACCCUGACCUGAACGAACCACCCACCCCCAAUGACCAGCCCCGCCCAUCUCAUGCGGUGGGUGGCAGCGCGGUGACAAGUGACGUCGUCGUCCUCGUCCGUCCCUCUCCGACUCUGACCAAUCUGACACCAAUGUAAGCACGCAUGCAUGUAAAAUGAACGACUUGUCCUUAAACUUGUCUCAUAGUGACUAGGGGCCUGCUUCGCCAUGCAUUGGCAAAGUGCAGCUCAGGUUGCGGUGGAGAAAUCGUCCGCCAUGCUCGCCACAAGUUUGCCACAGUCUAUAUGCACUAAACGACAUGCGAUGGGAGGAAAACGACAUGACAGAAUUCUGUGGCUGCCUAAGGUUAAAAAUAGAACCAAACAACCGCUAAGGUUGCUGUUGGCUGCCAAACUUUACUCAUGGCGAGUUGUGGCCGUGAUCCAAGCAAAACCUAGGUCCCCCAACUCUCAAAAUUGUAUUUUGAAGAUACCUGAACUUAUCUUAGGAUGUCAUCUAGAUUUAGAUAUCUAAAAAUUUUAGUUUUAGGUCCUUAAAUUUGCCAUAGAAUAUGGGCGGAUUGGUUACGAUUGAAGGAGACAUCCAGGAUGGUGACGAGGUUCAGGCUCACGGUUGGUGCCCAGUACACAAGCAUACAUGCAGGUUUGUUUGGUUUGUGUAAAAAUGGGCUGGACCGGGAUGAAGAGAGUUGUUGAUUGGUUAGGUAUAUGAAGAACUUUUUUGUAUGGCUACAAGUGGGGCCCCAACAUUUUUUCUGUAUUAUCUCAGCCUAUAUCGCAAGGGAAGCUCGAUUUCUGUGUACGCAUUGCAUGCAUCAGGACGGCCUCAAAUGCAUGGUCCCGUGCAUCAUUUUUAUUUGGCAGAAGAAACCAAACACAACGCAAAAACUACUAAAUCAUGCAGGGAUGAACUGCUCCAGCCUACCAAUCAACCCCUAUUUAUGUGAUCUAGAUCCAACCGAGCUCUAAUUAACUCACACGUUGAUCUUUAGCACUCCGUCUACACGCUCUCCCUCUCUUCUAUCUUCAUCUCCAUGUUUUUAGCUCUCCUUUUCUCUUCUAGCUCCAUAUCUAUUCUAUGCUUUUCCAAUCUAGUGAGGCAUUGCAUCAUAGGCCUUAUUUAGUUCACCCUGAAAACCAAAAAAUUUUCAAAAUUUCCCGUCACAUCGAAUCUUGUGGCACAUGCAUGAAACAUUAAAUAUAGACGAAAACAAAAACUAAUUACAUAGUUUAAGUGUAAAUCACAAGACGAAUCUUUUGAUCCUAGUUAGUCCAUGAUUGGAUAAUAUUUGUCACAAACAAACAAAAGUGCUACAGUACCGAAAACUUUUCACUUUUCCGAACUAAACAAGGCCAUAGUCGCCGACUUGCCUUUUCUAAACUAUGCCUUCCUCAUUCUCCUAGGCCACACCGUCAUCAGUAGUGAUGGCAGUAAGUCCAAAGCUGUUGUUCCUUAUGUAGCACAGGUAUGCGAAACGAUUGCUUUGCCAACUCUUGCCCCUGGUCAAGAAUGAUGUGUGGAUACUGCUGUGAUACUGCUAUGUUAUGUAGCAUCGUGAUGUAGAGUAGAUCAGGUUUAUGUGGAUAAGUUCGAGAACCUAGAACUGCAUUUUAAGAGUUUGAGAGCCUGCCCAUAUAUUUUACUCAAAUACAAUUGUCAAUACUAUUUUAUAUAGACCUAGUAAAUUUAAAAUUUAAAAAUGAUCAAAUACUCGAAAAAUAAGAUGCGCACUUUCUUUAGGGAGCGAAUAUAUAUAUUUGCGGAGAUAAAGAGGAUGCAUGGACAACUAGACAUGAUGGACGCAUGCGAUGCAAUUGGGCGCAUGAAAAGGGGCAUUCAAACUGUUGUUCCGGUAGAUCCAGCAUCCAUGAUAUGAUUGAUCCAUCCAUACAUAUCCAAGGUUGCUUAGUAGUGGAGCUAGUUAUUGUGCUGCCGCGUCAUCCACCCUCCCUCUUGCCGUGUUGCUCGUGCUGUGCCUGCUCCGAUCCCGUUCAGUCAGGUAGAGAAAAGCAGCCGCGCAAAAUGAAAGGCCCUCCAUGACUCACCCCUAGCUAGCUCAUGCGGGGUUUGUGCAGUACGGGUACAAAUAGGCUACUACUUCCUAAGCUAUACUUAGGGCUUGUUUGGCACAGAUCAACUUCACUAGUAAAGCUGUUUUUUUUUAGAAAAUAGCUUCAUGAGUGACUUUCUAAAUAAAGUUGAGCUGUUUGGAAAAAGUGUUUGGCAAAAUAGCUUCACCAACUACUUCAUGCAUAGUUGAGAGAGAGAAAUGAGUGAGAGAGCUAUAAUAAGCUACUUUUUUCAGCUUCAUCCCAACUUUUUUGUGAGAGGAGGGGAAAAACAGCUUCACCAUAAAGCUGUUUUGAAAAUAAGUGUUUGGCAAAAAAAAAACAGCUCACAACAGCUCAUGAAGCUGUUGUGAGCUGUACCAAACAGGCCCUUAGUCCAACUUCUUCAAAGUAUUUAUGCAGCCAAUAAAUACAUAAAUUAAAAGCCAACCAAACAGGUGCAACCUGAAGUAGUUUUUUUUUCAAAAACAAUUAUUUCUGUGUAAUAUAAUUUCUACAACACUUUUGACACUGCUUUUGGCUUUCGUUUUUUUUUCAAAUGGUUGUAAAUAGAGAGAUAUUUUGUAGCAUUUUCAAGGUAGAUAAAAGAUAAGGGAUAGAUUUUAUAGUUGUGUUCAGCUAGAUAUGUUAUAGCUUUUUCACAACACAUAGUUUUUUCCACAUUUCAUAGCUCGAUCACAAUAAUUUUUCCGUACCUCAUAGCUAAACCAAACAUACCCUAAAUUGUAAGCUGUUUUUUUUCAGCAAAAUUAUAAGCCUUUUUAUCAACUGCUCACAUGUGCCGUGCCGCCACUUGUGACUUUGCGUGUGAGAUCCCACGUGUCUCUAUGGCAAAAGAGAUAACAACUUUCAUCCAGAUGUGGCGUCUGCAUGCUUGCAAACAGAAACUUCCUAACUUUUUUAAGCAACGCUGUUUCUGACCAAUCUACCAAACAGGGGCCUCUAAGUCGUGUCGUCUUAGACACCCAAACAACAUGAUAUCAUGAGGGCACUCACAAUACAAGACUCUAUCACAGAGUCCAAGACAAUUAAUUACAUGUUAUUUAUGGUAUUUUGCUGAUGUGGCAGCAUAUUUAUUGAAGAAAGUGGUAGAAAAAAUAAGACUCCAAGUCUUAUUUAGACUCUAAGUCCACAUUGUUCAAGGUAAUAAAUAACUUUAGACUCUAUGAUAGAGUCUGCAUUGUGAGUGCCCUGAUACUUUGCAUUGGAAGAUGCAUGUGUUAUUUCUCUGCAAAUCUAUUAAUGGCUCUUGAUCCGAUAUGACAGUCUGAGAAAUAAACCACCUAUAUAGCAAACUAAAACGAGAUUAUAUGCAUCUGGAUGACUAGCCUGCCUAAUCUACUAGUCUACGUGACAGUAAUAAUUAAUCUAUCAAAGAACACGAGGAGCUGAUUGAGGAAAAAGAAAACAAUAAAAAGCUUCUUCAGGUUGCAAUGCCCUCGUCACUGUAGUAUUGCUUGAGCCAGCGCGCUAUGAUCCUCGUCUCCUUCACCCGCACCUUCUUCAGCCACUCUGGGUCCUCCUUGCUCGAGAAUCUCAAAUCCACGUGGUGUGCCCCUGCAUGUACACCAUAUGUUUUAAACAAGUUUAUCUUAGACAGACAAAACAGAAGUUUAUCUUAACUAGACAGACAAAAUAUAUACAUGCAUGCAUGGUGGAAUAUAUUACAGGGAAGACAAGAAGUUGUCAAUAAAAAUUGCUCACUGACCUUUGGGCUCCACCAACGCAAUGAUGCUGUCAGAGAUGCUCUUCAGUACGCUGUGAGUAGCCAAAAGUAAAAACAAAAAUGUAAACACGUCUGCUUUUUUAUGACAGUUUACUAAGCUUGACCGAGCCAUAUAUAUUUUCCUCGGCAAAUUUUCUUUGAAUCCAUUUUUAAGCUGGAAAAAAAAUUCGGCCCAUAUUACCCUCCAGUGCUCCACGGAUCCCGCAGCCCGUUGAAGAAGAUGAUAUUACUAGCAGAUUUCUUCAGAACAUUCGCAAUAUCCUGAAACAGAGAAAACCAUUUUUUUACGAAUUUUUUUUUUGACAAAAAGUAAAGAAAUCCCAACAAGCCCAAAACCAGCCCAAUCAUCAUGCAUCGAGCCCGCCAUUUCCAGCGACCAGCAAUUGAGCCCAGCCCAAUAGACGGCCCAGCCCAGUAGGAAAUAAACUAGGAAUCCCGCCGCCGCCGCCGCCGCCGCGCCGCCACUUACGUAUCCGCCGAACUCGGUCUCGAUCCAGAACGGUCGGGGCGGCAGCCCGGUGACGUUCCGGCAGUCGUCGACGACCUCGGUGAAGUUGAAGGGCGCCGGCUGCAGCACGGUGCCAUCGCGGACGCCGUACGCCAUCACCAUCACCUCCGUGCACGCCUGCCAGUUCCACCCGUCGUACAGGCCGUAGGGGUCGUCGUCCUCCUCGGCGCGGAAGCACGCCGCGCCGCCCGUGUGGUUGUAGUACACGUUCAUGGCGUCCCGGACCUGCUCGGACAGCAGCAGCAGGGCCGUGCUGCUGCUGCUGUUGUUGCCGUCGUCGUUGCCGGAGCCGGAGGUGGAGGUCGACGCCGCCGCCUGCUGGUGGCGGGCGUCGAUGGCGCGGCACAUCGCGCGGACUGGGUACGCCGGCAGCGGCGUCAGGAACCCCGACGUCGUCGGGUAGUCUGUCAUCGCCGCCUCCACCAUCGCGUUCUCCAGUAGAGACGGGAUGUCCCACACGCUGCUUCCACUGCAUAUGCAUGGAUCGAUGUGUGUAUAGAUGCGUGAUCAUCAGCAGACAGAUCGAUAUCGAUCGUAUAAUAAUUUCAUCAAUUUGAUCGGAAUUAAUCCAGUGUUGUUUUGUAUGAAAUUCGUGCAAAAUUCUUGCUUGAUUAGUUUUGAGCACACACUCACUUGCACAUGUUGAAUGUACGUCUCAGCUGUGCCUGGCCUUCCUUGGUUGCGAGCGCAUCGUCGAGCACGUCCCACGACUUCCGAAGCACGUCGUAGCAGUUCUUGCUCUCGCUCUAAUCGCACACAAUUAUUAAAUAAAACAAGAACAUGAAUCAAUGGUGCAUGCAAAUUUCGCGCGCGCGCGCGCGCGCGUGUAUAUAUAUAUAUAUAUAUAUAUAUAUAUAUAUAUAUAUAUAUAUAUAUAUAUAUAUAUAUAUAUAUAUAUAUGAGAGAGAGAGAUAGAGAGAGAGACACACACACACUUGAGUGCAUACCUUGUAGUCGUCGUUGAUGCGGUCGUAGAACGCGUAGGGAUCGACGAUGCCAUAGAAGCUAAGGAUGGGCGCGGACGACGCGACGGCGCCCAUGACAACAUGCGGAUACUUGAGGCGCAUCCACGCCGCCAGCAUGCCGCCGUAGGAUCCGCCGAAGACGACGACGGGCGCCGCCGGCACGCUGAGGUUGGCCUUGAGGCUGAGCACGAACGAGGCGUAGUCGGCGAGCGCCUGCGUGACGGUGAGGUAGCCCUUGGUGGCGGCGUCCCGGAACGCGGCCUCCCUGGUGCCGCCGAACGGCAUGGACUCGCCGUAGUAGCGGUGCUCGACGAAGACGAGCAUGGCGCGGAACCGCGGCGCGGCCUCCCACAUGAACCCGGUGUUGUUGGUGAACAGGUCGAUGUCGCCCUCGUUGCCGGCGUAGAGGAAGAUGGGCGCCGUCCGGCUCCGGCCGCCCCAGAACGUGUCGUUGAUGAGGUACCGCUGCUGGAACGUCGCGUAGCUUGAAGGCAGCGAGUUGAAGUGGUCCAGCCGCUGCGUGUACCGCCGCGUCUCGUACUGCACCGCCGGCGGCACGGAGGAGGAGGAGGAGGCGGCGUCGUCCCCUGCGCGCGGUACCUGCAGCGAUGUGGCGUAGUGGCGGCGGGUGGCCAGCGUCGGCGGUGGCCGCCGCCUGGUGACACGGCGGCGGCCCACUCCGGCGGCUGCUGCUGCUGUUGCGGCUGUUUGGAGUGACAGGAGAAGGAAGACGGCGGCGAUGAUGAUGGCUCUCUCCAUGAUAUUGCAGAUUGAUUGACUUGUGGAGAAUUGGAGUACUCAAUCUGCUAUAGGAGAGAAUACUGCCACUAUAUAUAUAUAUAUAUAUAUAUAUAUAUAUAUAUAUAUAUAUAUAUAUAUAUAUAUAUAUAUAUAUAUAUAUAGUAACUGACGUGCUUGGAAGUUGGAACUAACUAACUGCCGAUUUGACCAGGCGGGGAUCUGGCUAGUAAAGGGAUAUACAGUAGUUAACUAACUGCUGCAUCGAACCGCCUCUGUCAAGAAUGGUGGCGGCGCAUGCGAAGUGGAGAACGCAUCUCCUGCUACGUUGCAUGCCCACAUGCAAUGCAAAGCUAUACUAUAAUCACGCAGCUGGCUCUCUGUGCUCUUCCCCCCCACAUCCACAUCGAUUUCUUCCACCAAAUAAUUGGAAAUUUGGUAAUGAAUACGUUGCCCCACGCGCAUAUAUUUCUGUCAGCAUCGGCAAGGCAUCGGGACAGAACGUGCAUGGUCACCAGCGGGAGCGACGCCGAUUCCGACGCGGUGACCACGAACCAGCACGCAGCCAAGGUGCGACGGGGUGAUCAUGCCAGGCGCAUAAGUGUGCGGUUCAGCGGGCAAUAGUGGGCGUGAGCCGGAGGCAUCCACAACUGCGUCUGUGUGGCUUCACGCGGGCCAACGGCCUUGUAUAAAUUGCGAGUGAGUGACGGAAAAGAAGAUAGCAAACACAAUUUGUUAUCUAAUGAAUUCAUCUACUUCCUAACCAAGUUGCAGUUCUUGCUUCACCUACCCCUGAUUCUGCCUAUUCCCCUUCCAAUCUGUUAACAAUUUCAUCCGUGCGUGAGAAUGCUGCCCAGUACUUUCUCACGAAUGACUAUCAAUCCAGUACUUUGUGUUGGCACUGAAAAGGUAAUAUUUCGUUGCAACACAUGGGUACGAUUCUAGUAUAGUUAUUAAAUUCCAACCUACACAACUUUAUGCCACUAUGUAAAUAUGAGUUCAUACGAGUCAUAUACAUUGUUUCGAGUCAUAUUAUGCAUCGGAUGUGCAGCUUUUGGCCCGCUCAUGUUCCACGGUAGCAGACCCGCAAGUCCAACUUGAUUUCAGUCCACCAACGAGGAUCUGCCAACUUCUUUGACCUUUUUUUUUUUUUGAGACAGGGCUCUAGAUUAAUAGAGGCGGUUACGUCUCUAUAAAUGUCAGGCAGGUUUUAGGCAAGCGCCAGCCUCUUUUCGUUAUUUUAUACUCUUAUAAAACUAAACCCCAUUAGACAUUUCUCUCAACAUACAAGCUAUCCACAUCAUCAAUCCACUAAAACUUGUGAUUAUAAUCAACUAACACAUAUAAUUAUGAUAAGUCAUCUCUUCAUCUACUAACAUGCAUUUAGCUGGUUCAUAUUGAUGUGUCAAACCAUUCAAAAAAAUUAAUUUAAGAUAAUUUUAUUCAUAUAACUAUAAAUGUAAAUAGUCUAUUUUUUUAAAAAAACUAUCUAAAAUUUCCACAGCAACGCGCGAGAUAUUCUCCUAGUUUAUAAUAAAAACAAACAUAGGUUAUCUCUGUUAAAUAAUUAUUUAUAAAGGCGGUUGUAUCAAGAUAUACAAUAUGGCUCUAUUAAUUAAUAAUUAAUUAAGGUGGACUUUUUUAAAAUAGCUCCUCUAAAAAUGGCUACUAAUAGAGCCGAUGUAACACCCAAAAAUUUGCUUUUGAAGUAAUAGGAUUUAAUGAGAAUUAUUUAAGCAAUUUUUGUGGGCAUUUAAUCUAGUGAAUAAAAUAUUUUUGGUCAAAAUUAAAAUUUAUCCUAAGUUUAGGAACUUGUUUAUGCAUUCAUGCUGAAGAAUAUGUUAUUUUGUAUUGUUUGCCUCUAGCUUGAAUUUAUUUGCAUUCAAGAUUUUUAUUUGGAAAAGGUUUUUUUUGAAAACGAAAACAGAAAAGAAAAUAAAAAAAACAGAAAGAAAACCCCAGCCGAACUCUCCCCUCUUCCCUCUGGCCUGUUUCUCUUUUCUUUUCCGGCCCAACAGACCCCGCGGCCCAGUUCCCUCGCUCGGCCCGAAGCGCAGCCCAGCGGGCGCUCUCCUCCCCUUUCUCUCUUCUCUCGCUGACGAGCCGGCCCCGCAGCGUAGCGCCCCCUCUUCUUCUUCACGUAAUCGGGACGGACUCGCCCUCCCUGAUCGCGAACCGAUCCCAGGAAAGCCGUGAUCUCUUGCCCUUUUCGCGAAUCGAGCCCUAUAAAGUCCCUAGGUCAACCCCGCAAUCCCCUCUUUGCUUCUAAAUCGCGAAACCAAGCACUAGCCACCCUAGACUGCGUGCUUUUGGAUCUCGCCGUGCGCAAAACCAUCCGCCGCUGCGGCACGCCCUCCCUGCACCUUCUCGGCGCGAGCUAAGAGCCUAGGUGGGUUCGUCUCCUUCUUCUCCAUCUCCCGAUGUGAUUCUUUUGCUCCGGGAUGCACCAGAGCGCGAGAACGAAGAGCUCCGGCGAGCUUCCUGCGGCCGGCAAUGGCGCCACCGCGCCGGAGCAGGGAGCCGGCUGGCCGGACCGCCGCCCGUCACCCCUGGACGCGCCCGAUGCGUCCGUUUGAAGAUCGACGGCCAGCAAACAAAGAUACCCCUUCGAGGGGAUUUUUCUUAAAGAGACCCUGGAAUAUUGGAGAAUUAACCCGCGGUCCAAAGGCGCAUUCGCGAUUUUACGUUUCCUCUGUUUUAAAAACGUAUUCUAGCCGGCUGGGUCUAAAAUGUGUUUUCAUAUAAUUACAAGUUUGCCACUAGAAGUAUUUUGGUCAUAAUAUGCUCAUUUUAAAUCCGAUUUGAUCCAUUCAAAUUUCGUUAGAUUUAUUUUUACGAGCUCUACAUGUUAGAAGUAUUAUUUCACUGUUUUGAAACUUUUUAUUUUCGCAGUAGCAUUUAAUUAAUUAUUUCUCUAUAGGAAAUCUUAGAAAAUUCAUAUCUUCCACGUUUUAAUUCUGUUUUUCGUGAACUUUACGUUUGUGUGAUCAUAGCGCUGCGUACAAUAUUUUCAUAAACUUUUAUCUUUGUUUUACCACUGUUUGGUGUAAUGUUCUAAUUAUAGCUUGUUUGCUUUGUGUAUGAUUGUCUACAUUGGAUUGCGUGUUGUUGAUUGAUGUUUGGGAAUAUACGGUGAGCCGUACGUUGGUGAUCAAGACCAAGCCUUUGAAGGCCAGCAGGCUCAGGAGAGAUUUGAUCAAGGCAAGUAUAACUUGAGAUCAUCCUUGUUACCUAUUCACUUAUAUCUACACAUAUAUAUCAUAUGCAUGCUUUCACCUUGUCGACCUUAGCAAAAUCAUAGAUGAUUGUUACCUGGAUUCCUUGAUACCUACUUGAUAUGCAUUUGAUGUAGUUGUGCUAGUGCUUGAUAUAAUCCAUGAUCUUGUAAGAUGAUUAAUAGCUAUGCAAUGAACAUAAAAGAAUGGCAAAUAACUGUAUGAGAUCUUGUCCGUACGUGAUCACCCGGGAUAACAGUGCAACCAUGAGGGCUAUAAUGGCUCUGGCUUUAGCUCAGUAUGAAGACCUUUUCUAGCAUGUUAGAGGUUACCCGAAAGGGCGGAGGGGCUGAACCGUUUUAGGUAUAGUGCGAGCCCCUGUCCCUAUGUGUAUAGGCUGCGCGUCAUUGUGCCAUUUGGAAGGGGGUAUCUAUAACUGCGUGCAAAGGAAACCUUGCGGCCCUAACAUGUUAGACGAACUUUUGAAAGGUUUCAUAGUGAUCCCUGCCGACCUCCCUAGGAAGGGGGUUAAGAGACUAGCUACCUCGGGCGAAAGGGUAAAUCAUGACUCAUGGGUAAAGAUGUACAACCUCUACGGAGUGUAAAACUGGUAUACUAGCCGAGCUCACGGUCAGAAGCGGCCUUGGGGACAUCUACAAUAAGAUGAUGAGCUUGUUAUGUUAUUAUGUUCAUUUGAUUAUCGUUUAUGCUAUGAAUUAAUUAUGCUUACACUUGAUCAUGUGAUUAAUGGAUUAUUACUGCUACCUUGACAUUUGCUAUUAAUUUAUGAACAUGCUAUCCACCAUUAAAAGCUAAAUGCAGUCAAACCAGUGUCAGCUAAUUGAGCCUCAUAAACCCCUGGUUAUACUUGUUGAGUACGAUAUGUUCUCACUCUUGCAAUUUUCCAACACCCCAGGUUAUACAAAAGAUGAUGCUUGGAAUGAGGAUUACCGUUAUGAGUAUUAGGCUUGGAGUCAACCAGUCAACAGUGUCCCUGUGUGGAGCUUCCGUCGAGAGCGUUGUUUACUUCAUGCUAUCAUUUUUGUAUGAGAUUAUGUGAUAUACUAUAUUCCGCUAUGUAAUAAACACUGCAAUGGUACAUUUGAGAUUUGUCUACUUAUGUGUGUGACUGUUUCUGGGGCACAUAUGAGUCCUUUAUGCAUCCUAUUUUGUUCUUAAAAUAUGGGUGUGACAGCCGAGCAUCCUAAGAUUCCAUCCCUACAAAUAGAUUAAUAGAGGUCACAUUAAUAAGAGGCUCGACUACAGAAAUAGAUGUAUAAAAAUAAUUUAUAGUUUUUCCAAUGCACUUCCAACGGCUACCUGAAGUCACAUGUCCUAUGCUAUCAUUCACCUCAUGGCUAGACUGGCCUCUAGCCUCUACUCACUUCUACACAAUCAACUUCGAUGGUCAAAACAUGACACGACAAUUGUUCAGUGUUCAAAAAUCUGCAUGGUCGGACAAUCCACUCGAUUCAUUCCUACAGUGCCAUAAAACGCUAGCCUUUGUCCUUAGUCUAUUGAUUGUCUAGUGUACUCAACCUUUUCUAGCUAAACUAUCUAGUGUAUUCAUUAGCACAAUUCUCUUUCGAUGAGUCAUUGAUUGGAUACCAACACUUUUGUGUAGUGCAUUCAUUUUUCUGUUUGCCAAAGUAUUCAUUGAGUGCAUUCUUCUCUGUUUUCAUCCCUAAGUUUUUCAUAUGAACUACAAUUGGGGAAAAAUUUAUUCUGUUGCAUUCCUUGCACCAUAACCAAGCUCUCUCGACAAUAUGUUCAUCAAAAUUGCACCACCAUGCACACUUAAGGUCAAGCAUUUCCACUUAACUCUCCUGCAUGGUGAUCCUAACUCUUGAAAGGUCUUCAAUCCUCAAGUUUUCACUUGCAAUACUUGACUCCUCCAUGAUUCACAUACUUAAUCUUGAGUCCUCGAUUACAUCACUUGACUUCUUGAUCGAUCUCCUUCAAUCCUGUGUUGUUUGAUUGUCUUGUCAUCAACCAUUGGGGUUAUCUUUAUUCUUAUUUCAUGCAUUGUAGCUUGGCAUUAACACUUGAUACUCCAACCCAUACACUAGAAACACAUGUCAUGUUGUCCUUAGUUUGCUUCUCCAUCCAUGCUUGAGGAUAUUUCUUUAUUUUCAUGCUUUGCAAUCUACAUUGACAUAUUUCUCCAAAACACAUAUAUUAAGGUUGUCAUUAACCACUGUAAACACUUACCUAAGAGGACUAGAAGCUCACAGAGGGGGUGAUGUCACAAACGGAAUGCAUGAACUUGUGGAGGACAUCUUGCUAGGUAGCCAACAAAGAGAAACAAUGAGCAGGAUAACAAUGCAAAAGACAAUCUAGUUCAAGCAAAAGACAACAAUGCAAAUCAAAUCUAUGAAAUGGCUUCUAUGUUGUGGGACAUCAUAGCAUCAUGUGAAAGCAUGCAUAUUUGGCAAAUGGUAAAUGAGACAUGAGUUGAUGAUUUUGGAUUGGUCUCUGUAAUGGCUUGCUUUUCAUGAACAAGAAGAGUUUGAUAGUGAAAUAGUUUUGAUCAAGGUUGAAGAAUUAAUCAAGAAUGCAUAAGUGAAGAAAAGACAAGCAAAGGUCAAAUGGCAAAGGACACAACUCAUACUGGAUAUAAGUCAGUCUCUACAUUGGUUUGCUUGUAUAAUUAAAAAAUUGGUAAAUCACUUUGCAAUUGCUUUGAUCAAACUAGAAGUAUGAAUAUAGAUAUUUGAAUAAGUGUUAGGAGUGUCAAGCCAAAAUGAAGAGGAGAUAAGGAAUCAUGAAUUGGAUAGACUAUAUAGAUGUUGAUUCAUAUAUAUAUCUCUAAGUGAAUCAAACUAAAGCUUGAUUGAUCUCAACAUUCAUAUCUAGAAGAUAUUCAAGAAAGAAUUACAAUAUUGAAGAAAUAGUUUUUCAACAGACACUUAAUAUGAUGUGACUUGAGUAUGCUUGAUAAGGUGAAGAUAGCAAGGAAAGGGCUUCGAGGGACUAAGCGAAGGUGAAAAGCAAGCAAUGCCUUAUGGACUAAGGUACCAUGGCUAAGGUGAAGAAUAGAGUACUUGCAUUGAGUCGAGAAACUAAUCAAGCUACGAGGAGUCUUAUUGUAUUGAACAUCAAAACAUUAGUGGAAGUGACUUGAAGCAAUGAAUUGAACUCAUAUGUGUUGAAAUAGUUCAAGUCAUAUGCUCAAGGUGUGUUUGCUCGGAGAGAUGAGACAAGGUUGAUGAUUGCAAUCCCCUAUGAAGUGAUAUUGAGAAGAAUUGACAUAUGAAGACAUUAAAGACUCAAGUGGUUGAAAUAGUUAUAUUCUCUUGAUCUUGAGUAUAGGAAUGCUAUACUAUCAAGGGAGAUGCAAUACUAAUAAUAGACAAGUCUCAAGUGCUCAAACUAACCGAACCCAAGUGCUGACAUGAGAGAAAAUAUCUAGCACUACACCUGCACUUGUUGAUCUGUAGGCAUUGUCUGCUGGGUUGGAUAGCCCAUGAAACAAGGUUUUCAAGAAGUCUAAGAUCACUGAAAAUAGAGUUCAGAGUAAAAAAGUUAUGGUGUUUUCUCUAAGCUGACCUGUUCUGUUUCUCGGAGCUGCGGCAGUGCCACACUCAAGUGAGGCAGGGCCGCACCCUAGCAGUGUCGCGUGUCUAGUGCAGCAGUGUUGCUCCUUACAGACCAUAGUGACUAGUUUUAGAACUGUAAUGGCUAGUUUGUGUGGGGUGGCUAUAUAUACCCAUCCCAUGCCUAGUGAGGCUGCUAACCUCCAGACCAUUCCAAGCACAUCCCUAACCAUUUGAGAGCUCUCCCCAUCCCUCUCUUUGUGGGAGUUAGUGAUUAGUGUGUGAUUAAGAGUUUGAGAGCAGAUUAGAGCAAAUCAAACCUUGAGCACUUGUUAGGCUUCGCCGAUCUUUGUUGCGCAUUUGUUACUAUUGGAGGUGAAGCCUCUUUAUCAGCUAGGCGUCAGCUGACGAGGUCCAUUGUGGUGAGCUACGAGAAAGUUUAUAAUCACCCAUUGAUCUAGUGGAAUCACCCCUCAUCUCAAGAGUUUACUCUCUAGACUUGAGAACAAGGAAGGGUUGCAAAGCCCCAGUGCCGGUCCUAUAAUUUUAAGGCCCUCUGGCGAAUUUAUCGUGACGACCUCUCUAAACUAUAAAAUCUUAUAAUAAUAUAAGUUAAUUUUGUUCAUAAGAGGAAAGUAAAUCGAAUUAUAUAUACAUAAACUGCACUUCUUGUCUUUUCAUUUUUUCAAAGCCCCCUGACAAAUGUUUCUUAGGUAACACUCUAAAAUUCUAACAUAUAUAUGACUAUAUGAGUACAAAGUACUAGACAAAAAUUAGAUAAGAAAAAAACCUAGUUCCUAAACAUUUAGGACAUGAACUAAUUCAGAAUCAGAAUCAUGAUUCACAAAUCACAAAAAAUAAAAGGGUAGAAGGAAAGAACCAGAUCACAUGUCAUAGCCCUCAUCGAGCCCUACCAGCUAGUCAUCGCCGUUGUCGUUUGGAUUUUGGAAUAGCCCUCGUCGAGCCCUGCCAGCUGGUCAUCGCCGUUGUCGUUUGGAUUUUAGAAGACUAGAACUCAAACGCAAAGGUUUCGGUAUUAUCCACUGCAGCUGGUGAUCGCGUUGUGAACUAGUGAUCGUGUCGCUGAUGUCGUUGUGUCUCUCCUCGCGGUCUCGCCGUCUCACCAGAAGUCUAAAAGUCGUGACUCGUGAUCGCUAUGUGUGGUAGCGUGUGUACGGGCAUUGGUGGCUCAGCUCCUUGGCUCACGACUUUUUUUAGUGAUAGGCCUCCUGCAUCGUAUAUAUGUAUGUACUAAUAAAUAAUGACUAUAGCUAAAGAAUAUGUGGUCUUAUAUACUUAGGAUUGGGCCCCUAUCCCGCGAGGGCCCUCGGCCGUCGCACCUCCUGCCCUCCCCUUAGGGCCGGCACUGCAAAGCCCUAAGCCUUAAUGGCAAGCCUCAACAACAUGGACAUAGGCAAUCCUUGGUGAUGAGUUGAACCACAUGAUAAAUCUUGUGUCUUGCGACUUUGUAUUUUGAAUUGUGUGAUUUGUGUUCCACUCGAUCUACUUGAUUGUGAGUGUAGGUACUUGGUGAACUUGUCACUGGAUAUCUCUAGAACCUCUCUACCAAGUUUGGUCAGAGUUGAACUCUCUAGAGAGGUGAGGCAGUGCUACACCUAGAAUUUAACUUUCGCUAUGAGUUUGUUUGAAAUAGGCAUAUUCACCCCCUCUAAGUGACAUCAAGGUCCUUUCAUGAUUCAAAGCGGAUCGGAGUAGAGGAUUAUCCAUGCCACUUUCAUACCUACCAUCAACAUAGUGGAUGUAAUACCCAAUUUUAAGGACAAAACCAGAUAUGCACCAUAUGUGAGUUUUAAAAGACAAAUCUCACAUAUAGCUACAAAUAAGGGGUAAUAUCAAAAGACCCAAAAUCGCCGCCGCCGUGGAACUUCCCCUCUGCUGCCGUGUUGACAAAUCUAAGAGCUUGCCGAGCUUCGCGUUGAGGUCUUGAACCCCUGUGUUUUUCCAUCAUCUUUUUAUCUCUCUCUGUGAUGCUCAAUUGCUCACCGAACUUCGCAGGAGCGCCUCGAUCCGCCGUCUCGCGCUGCCCGCUUUCCCCGAGCUCCCUCUGCCCGCAAUAAGCCCCAAGGUGAGUUCGCGUUGGUCCGCUCGUGCUCCCAGUAGUUUUCCCGUUCGAAACCGAGUUCCCUAGGCCGUUUUCCCCCGUCUCUGGCAAAGCUCCGGCCAUGGAGCCGCCGUGCCGGAGGCCCUGCUCCGGCCAGCCAGCCGCCCCUCCCUCCGAUCUGAUCUGAUCCGCCCAAAGAAGAUCCAACGGUUCACGGUGGCCGAUACCCUUUCGGCCUGGAAUUUUGCUAAGAGCCCCUCAAUUUGUUAUAUAUUGAACCUGCAGUCCGUUACGUAAUCCCUAAAAUACGCUUUCUCAGCUCGGAAAGCGUAAUCCAGCCGACUGAGUUCAAAAUACGUUUCCAGUAAAUUACAAGUUUGCCACUGAUUUUCUUUUGGAUAUAAAAUAUUCGUUUUAACUCCGAUUUGACCCGUUCAAAUGUCGAUAGAUUCGUAUUUACGAGCUCUACGUGUUAGAAGUAUUAGUUUACUGUUUUGAAACUUUUUAAUUUCCUGGUAAUAUUUAAUUAAUUAUUUCUCUAUAGGAAAUCUUAGAAAAUUCAUAACUUCUCCGUUUUAGCUCCGAUUUUCGUGAUCUUUUCGUCUGUGAGAUCAUAGCGAUGCGUAGAAUCAUUUUUUAAACUUUUCAUACUGUUUUUAUAUGAAUGGUGUACUGUUCUAAUUGUAGUCUUAUUUGCUUCGUGUAUGUUUGUCUUCGAUUGUUUGUGUGAUCGAUGAUCGAGUUUAGACGGUGAGCAAUACUUCAAUGAUCAAGAUCAGAGCCUUGGCAACAAGUAGGACCAGCAGAACCAAAAGGAUCAACAAGAGCAUUUGGAUCAAGGCAAGUAUAGCAUUUGGAUUUUAUUUCUGUGACCAUGAUCUUGUGACUAGAUUAAUGUGAAGUAAUAAAUGAUAAAAAUGACUUUUUAGCCACUUGAUGAUUUAUCUGUAAGUGAUAACCGGGACAACAGUGCAACCAUGAGGGCUAUAAUGGCUCUGGCUUUAGUUAAGUAUGAGUAACUUUUCUAGCUCGUUAGCGGUUACCCGUUGUGGCGCAAUUGGGGAAUAGCAGACCGUAGAUUCCUGCGGGUGAAUCACAUGGACUGACUAAUGAAAUCAAGCGGCCCUAACUUGUUAGACGAACCUUUGAAAGACUUCAUAGUGAUCCCUACCGACCUCCCUAGGAAGGGGGUUAAGAGACUAGCUACCUCGGGCGAAAGGGUAAAUCAUGACUCAUGGGUAAAGAUGUGCAACCUCUGUAGAGGGUUAAAAACUAGUAUACUAGCCGAGCUCACGGUCAGGAGCGGCCUUGGGGAUUCUUGCUGCGACGAUGAUGAUUCCUGUGUGUUAAAUAUGCUCAUUAUUUAUUAUUUAAUGCUUUACAUUAUUUAUGUCACAUUGAUCAUGAGAUUGUGGGAGCUAUACAAUCUAGUUGCUAUACUUGUGUAGUUCGACAUGUACUCACUCUUGCUACUUCCCCCAAACCUCAGGAGAAGUUUAGGCUUGUGAUCAACCAGUCAGUUGGAUCCUGUAGAGUGGAGUUAAUACCCGAAGUUGGAGUUAUUUAUCCGCUGUUUGUUACUAAAGGUUAUCUCUUUUAUACUAAGUAUGUUAUAUAAUUUAUGCAUGUUGUCUUUUGAUAUUACCCCUUAUUUGUAGCUAUAUGUGGGAUUUGAUUUUUAAAACUCACAUAUGGUGCAUAUCUGGUUUUGUCCUUAAAAUCGGGUAUUACAAUGGAAGUGAAUACUACAACUCGUUCCUAGACUAGGCUACACAACCUUUGUAUGCUCAUCACCGCCAUUCCAGGAGACACCAUCGCUACCAGUUUUCACCCUCUUUCUCCUCCUCCUCCUCUUUGGCGUGGCAAUUGCCCCCUGCAUGGAGGUGGCCUCUAAGAUAGAGUGAGCCGAGGAGAGAGUAAGCCGAGAGAGAGAGAGGGAGGAGAGAGACUAGAGAAAAGUAAAUGAGGGAGGAGAAAGAGUGGCCGGUGGGGCAUGGAAUACUUGUGCUCCGUGUGAGCACCAUAUGGUGUUGACUACAAUGAAGAUGUGGGUGACGGCGUCAAUCCAUUCCAAUCGACAGGCACCAUGUCUAGGCACACUUUUCAUCACCAUGUUUAAGUUUCGAACUAGUGGUAAAAAAUGAUUUUCACCAUACGUUUUAAUAAAACCGAUGGUGAAAAUACUAUUAGUAAAAACCUUCUGUAGCUAGUGCACAACUAUUGGUAAUAAAACAUUAUGUAGUGCACUCAAUGAAAAGGCUAUCAAGGACCACUACUGUGAGUUGGUGUCUUACUAUUAUUCGGCCUUGUUUAGCUCCUGGGGUGUAAUGUUUUGGGAUGUUACAUCGGAUGUCACAUAAGGUGUCACAUGGAGUCUUCGAUUACCAAUAAAAAACAAAUUACAUAUUCCAUUAGUAAACUACGAGAUAAUUUUAUUAAGUCUAAUUAAUCCAUUAUUAGCAUAUAUUUACUGUAACACUAUAUUGUCAAAUCAUAGACUAAUUAGGUUUAAAAAAAUUAUCUUACAAAAUAGUCAUAAUUUGUGCAGUUAGUUAUUUUUUAGUCUACAUUUAAUACUUUAUGCUCAUGCAUGUGUCAAAACAUCCGACUUGAUAUAGGGCGUAAAGUUUUCCAGCCUUGAGCUUUGAAUCAUUAAUCAAUGAUAAUGCCAUCAUCACAUUGUUUGCAUAGUACUACGUGAAGUACUUUACUAGGUCAUUAACCUUCUAUAGCUAGUAAGCUCUCAUGUCGUCCUUGGCCUGUGAACUUGAAGGCAUCUGAGACGCAGCAAUGAAUUGAAGCAUGCAGUUCUCUGAUCCACAACACUUAACUGCGGCACCGUCGUCCCUGCGCGCGUACUCGCAUUGGUUUUUACUGCGUCCGGGAUGCAUGGAUGAUGUGGGUGCAUCUUUUGACCGCGCGUCCCUCCACUUCUUUAUUGUUGCCGCAGCGCUCAGUUCAUCGAUAGAUCAUCUCAGAGAGCAGGGCGUGCUCAGGAGGUGCUCGCGUUCGUGAGUACGUGAGGUCUCCAUUGCGAAAUCAUUGUCGUGGAAUCCCAUAUCCCCCGGCACCAGUACUGACAGCGGAUGCCUUGCGCUUGCUGCCUCGCAGGCAGGCAGCUCGUCUCCGGCCGGUCAGCUCGAUCGCCGCGUGCUGUACAUACACUGUUCAUAUCCUUGAAAAUCAAGGGGUUUUGUCUCAUUGAUUAACAGUGUUGUUAUCACUGAGGCCCCCCAAAUUUUGUCUUGGCACGAAUUCGACCCACGUUUGAGAUGGCCCCGGCCGUAUGUUUGUGUGUUUCUGAAAAUUUGUAAAUAUUUGGCAUGGCAUGUCAGCCUGUCGCAGCACCAAUUCUAGUUGUACACUACAGUAAUAACCUGCAGAGUCUCUCUGGUAUUGACAGGAUCUGGUUUUUUCUUUUACUACCUGGUAGACAUAACUACUCUGAGUCAACCCAACAAUGUGGAAGCCUUUUGUCAGAUCACACUGGCAAGAGAAUACAGUAGGAUUUUAAUUUUGUUUCUGGAUGAAUACUAUAUUUCAGGUUAAUGUAAUGUUUUUAUUUAGUAUAUAUUAUAAAUGUUAGAUUUUUUUAUAAAUUUGAUCAAAAUUAAAAAUUACUAUUCUCCUUUUUUUUGGACGGGGAGUACCUGAGUGAAGGAUCAGAGCCUGCCCCCGUUUCAUCAGCAAGAGAUCGUCCAAAGUAGCUGCAGCCUGCAGCAGCCAUAGAUACGUACCGAGAUGCUCACUCUGCUAUGAAACCAAAGCUGCGAAGGAUUUCUGCUGAUUCAAAGCUGUACUUGCUGGUGACUGCUGAGACGUCAUUUCACACCUUGCACCUCAAUUAAUUUUCUUGUUUGUUUAGAUGCUUUUGGAAUGACAAAAUUUUUAGCUUUAAUCUUUUGCUGCAAAACUUUUGCUCAUUCAAACUUUACAUCUUAGUGUUUAGAUAUAUGGCAAACUUUAGCCAUGCAAAUACAACACAUGCCCCUAAUUAUGUUUUUGGCCAGUUUUGGGCCUCUUGAGUUCUAAAUACCAAAAGUUUAGCAGCUCAAGUUUUGCUCUUUUUGCUGAUGCUGUUUAGAUCCAUUUUGUCAAAAGAUAAGGUAAAACUGCAAAAGUUUUAGGUGAAGUUAAUGUGCUAGCUUUUUAAUAAAUUUUCUGAAAUAGUAUAUAAAAAAGGAUCCGAGUUAAGGCCUUAUUGCUAGCUUUUUCUGCGAGGCACAUCAAAUGAAGUGGUGAAGUUUUUAAUGUGCUAGCUGCUGCUGGAUUCCUGUAACUUCAUUGCAGGGUAAAGGGGGCAUUGAAGGUGUUAGCUAGGCUGAAAUGCAAAGACAUGUAGGGCAUCGCCGUUCAAUUAAAGCAUGUAUUUACCUAAAGUGGCACAUCUUCUAUUAGAAUCCAUUUAUUCGGAGAACCAGUGCCUCAGUUGAUGCACAUUUAUUUGGAUAGAUGGAGGAAUCCUUUAAGCCUCUGUUGUUAGCUAGCUAGUACAUAGGAGGUCAGGAAUCCUCUCUAUUCAUGAAGGGUGUUCAAGGUGUUAAGAUUGGCAAUCUUCCUUUGAUAACUAAAGGAGCACUCUUGUCUUUUACUGCUAGCAUAUUUAAAAAAGGAAUUAAGCAUAUAAGUUUUUAUUGAUAAUACCAAAACGUGGACCCAUAAAAUACUUUAGGAUUUGUGUUAUCAUUACCAUAACCAUCACUACAAGAAAUAAGGCUUUACAUGACGGUUUGAUUCUGUCAUAGAUAAGUAAAAAUCCGUCAUAGUUAACUAUCUAUGACGGUCCAUAGGAACGUCAUCUAUUCCUCGUCAUACAUUUUUUGGACGAAAAUAGAACGUCACAGGUUGGUUUUUUGGAUCGUCAUGGACGAACCAUAGGGCAACUAUAGGAAGAGACUAUGGUGAUGAACUAGACCGUCAUAGUUUUACUGCCAUGUCAACACACAUAAACAGUUCAUGGUUUUACUGUCAUGUCAACACACAUAAACUGGAACAAAGCUCAUAAUUGACAAAUAUUGCCCAUCAUUUUUAUUGAAACUAUCAACAUUUGUACUUGUACAAUAUUUCACACGAAAUACUAAGUCAAUAACCAAGCUACACUCAAGUAUCUACAAAACUAAGAUGUUGACUUGUACAACACAUAACUCGUAUGAUUUGCUCGCACAACAAAAUCUUUCAUGACUAAUGAAAAUAGCCACCAUGAGCACCUUGAUCCUCUUUCCGCAAUUCACAUAUAGCGUCACAAACAUCUGCAAUGAAUACUUGAUCAGUAAUAAAACUCACAUGUGCAAAGGUACUAUCUUUGAAAAAUGCAAGGGUCUUUUGGCCAAGUUAAAACUUCUAUAUCACAGCUAUUUAUUUAAAGAUUGUCAACUUAAUAUGAAGAAGACAGGAGCAUAGACUUGCAUCAGAAAACAUAGCUAAACUUGCAAUAGACCAGCUCUAUACUUAGUCUAUCCUAGGUCUAUUGUGCUUGAAAUAAUUCCGACAUACAGAACAAGCAUAGAAUUCUGAAACCACAAGCAAAAUGGCAGCAACAACCAAUAAGAUUAGCAGUGUACAAAAUGCAAAUUGGACAGUGGUACAAAUCUUUGUAUGCACAAUCUAAUUCUAAAUCUAUGUAACAUGCAUAUACCUUUGUUUAUUUGUCAAUCUUUAGUCCUUCAGCAAGAUGGUGUUCUCAACAAGCCUUCAGGUAGCAUUUUGACCAAGGGUCUUUGAAAGCAUUCAGGUAGCACUUCGACCAAAAAUAUUUGAAGUUUCCACUUAUACAACAUGGUGGAUGUAGGUCUUUAUUGCUGAAAAAUAGUUAAUGGAUCAGUGGGUUCAUAUUGGAAAAAUGGUAAGAUAUUUGGAAAUGGAAAGGACAGAACAAAAUAUGACAGCUUCGUCAAGAUAUUUUUAGGAGUCUAAAAGGAGAGAUAACAUAUAAACAGAACACAAUAGUCAAUUAUCAGGAAACCAUUAGAGCAAAAUUAAUAUUUCUUUCUAUCAGCUCAACCCUACAGAUAUAACUACCACCUUGUUUGUCAAUCCUAACUAAACAAACACCUUGGCAGUAUCACUCACGCCUCAAAUUAGAAUUAUACCACAUAUUGCUACCCAAAUCCAGAGAAGUUAAAUAAGUCAACAGGGAGUAGAGGCUCACAAGGGAUUUGAUAUCUUCACCAAAAUCGCUGUCAAAUUUGAUGCCAGUAUCCUGCGUACAAGGUAGGAGCAAAUCACAAAAUUGCAGAAAUCAUAAUUAGAAAAUCCUAAGCACCCAUUUACUAGCAGCAACAAAACAGUGCUGCUGAGAGUGGUGCUGUCGAGAGUAGCAGCAACAAAACUUAUCAUCUGCAAAUAAGCUUCCUGCUUACUAGCAGCAACAAAACAAUUACUUGUGCUCCACUCAUCUGCAAAUAAGCUUCCUGCUUACUCUUGAAUUCUCAUUAAACUUCAAUAGCGAAGCACAAGUAAUACUUCAGCAAAGCACACAUGACAUAUCUAUUUAAGGACAGCAGUAAUAAUAAAUAAACUGAAGCUAGAGAUCAUAUGCAUACCCGAGCGACCGAGCCGGUGGCUAGGCAAGGAUAGAAGUACUCUGUUGCCAUUAUUGCUGCAUCAAAGAAGUACGUUUUGAUUAGCGAAUAAAAGGAUAAAGUGAAACUAAGAUACUGUUCUACAGAAUUCUAAAUUUAGUUUUAAUACAAAAUUCAAUAUUUAGUUUUAAUAAUGUAAAUAAAUUGGAAAGUAAUAACUAAUGUCUGAAAACAACAUUUAUUUACUGAGCAUGAAGAUUAUCUUUCCUGCCAGGACCCAUUACUAAUCUCACACCUACGAGUACCUUAAGCUGACAAUGACUAUUUUAAUUAAAGGAGAACGCAGAACAGUAAACAUUUGUGAUUCCCAGAAACAAAUAUCACCCAAAAUAGAAGCUGCAUGAGAUAUUUUACCCAAAAUAGAAGAUGCAUGAGAGGCACUUUACCUUAAAUCGGGUUUCCCUGUGACCUUUUGGAAUUCAGCAGCACCUAUAACAAAUUAACACUAUAACAAAUUAACAGUUCAAGUUAAAGAACCCCACAGAAGGCACUACUAGUAGUAGCAGCAGAAAUUGACGAGGAUCUUGUGGCAAUUUAGUUCAGGGCAUCAAUCCCAAGCUUUUCAAGCACAUCCACAAUUCCACAUCCCCGGCCGCCAAAAUUAGAUUGCCCAAAUUAGAAAAGGAGGGACAGGUCCAUCUCAUGGGGCACAUGCGACCACAUCCCCCUCCGCCAAAAAUAGAUCGCCCAAAAUAGAAGGUGUAGGAGAGACAUUCACCUUCAACAUGCUCUCCUCGCCAUGCCCCCUUCGGUGGUUUCCUUCCCCCCUUCUUCGGCGACAUCGGUGGUGGCGGUGACGCUCGACCGCUCGUCCUCUUCUUCGAUGACGUCGGUGGUGGCUGCGGGAUGGUGGCGGUCACGCUCGACGCGCUUGUAGGCUGCUGGGCGACGGAGCAGGAUGGCAAAGUGGUGGUGGAGGAAUCAGUGGAUUGAGGGGCGAUCGAGGUUGGCGGCGUUGGUUGUGCGAAUUGGAGGAUUGGGGGGAUUUGGUGGCACUGUUGCCCGCGAGACGGUGGAGCUACAUUAUAUAUGGCACUGUGAUAUUACCAAAAUAUACCCAUUGUUUCAUUUGCGGGAUGCAUGGAGUGGGGGCAUAAUGGUAAAUUCGUAGCUAAAAAUUGGAGGUGGGAAGACCGCUCGCCGCAAAAUUUUCAGGGUGCGCAGUGUAUUCAGAAUGCCCGCCAAAGGCCAAAAUUUUUCCAGCGCACGCACUUCUGUUCAGGGUGCCUCUUUUUUCUUCUAUUAUUUUUUUCUUAGCUAUUGAAGUAAUAAAAUAGUGACAGAUAAAACCAAAUUUUGAAUACCCUGGACCACUUGUUUAGGUGAUAACCAAAAUUUGGAUUAUGAUGUACUUAAUUAUUUAGGGAAUAACCAAAAAGUUUAGAGUUUAGCUAUAGCUAUCAAAUUAUUUAGGACCGGUAAUCUAAAUAAAUCGCUAAUGUCCCCUCUUACGACACACUGAUAGCACUUAAUAGUGUGUUGAAUGUUGGAUGUGUGACCUUCCAAUGAGUCUGUUAUGGAUGACCAAAAUGAUCUGUGACGUCCAGUUGUGACAAUAAUUUAACAAAUCGUCAUAUAUUCAUCACCUUAGAUUUAAACCGUCAUAGAUGAAUAAAUUCUAUGAUGAUUUGUUAGAAGGUCACGAUAAAAUCGUCACGUAUACCUAAAUUUCUUGUAGUGCAUAGACAACCUAAUAAUAUAUUUAGGAAUAAGAGUAGUUCUUGUAAGAUUCAAUAACAAGACCUCAACCUUGACGCGAUCAUUUCAUGCCAUUCCACUACAACCAUUAGUUAUAGUAUAGUAUGAGAAUUAUUCAUUUUCGAUCCAUCAAUGGAGGCUAUUUUUAGUGUCAUUUUUCUUAAACAUAUCCCAUGUAGAAAUCAUUUUCAUAUAUUGUUAACUUAAACAACCGAUUUCACAAAAGUUAUGUUUUAAAAAUUAAAAUGGAUCUAAGAACUUUUAACAAGUAUUUAGGCUUCUAAAUGGUUUCAAAUGAAAAAAGUUCAACUACAAUGUAAAUCUCGUUGAGCCCUCUACAAUUUGAUAUAAUAUUGUCUUCAUCUAACUUAAUAUGAAAAAGUUAUAAAAAAUUUAUAUACAUAUCAUUUUGAAUCAGAUUUCUAUUGCUAGUUUUGUUAAGCAACCACCAUUAGAAAUUGAUUCCUAGUAAACCUCUCCUCUACAAAUAGGCUAUUUGUACUAGCGUUAACAUAAGUUACCGCCAAUGAAAAUAUCUAUUUCUACUGGAUGUAGCUUAAGUCGGCCGCUAGAAGAAAUAGGAGCAUUUCUAUUGGGAGUCAAAAAAAAAAGAUCCCUGCUAUAAAUGAUUUUCUACUAGCUGUUCUUGGUCAUACAUACUGUACUGGCAUCUACUUUUGUAUUUUGUACGUACUAGUGCACCAAACUUUACUAGGUUAUUUUUUUAAAAAAAAUGCGCUAUAUAUUAAAUGCUCAAUUCAAUCAUAAAGCUUAUGUGGUUGCCCAUACCUUUUCUUUUUGUUGCUUUCAUGUGGCCGAGAUUCAUUUCCUUUGAUUCAAUACCGCUAAGGUAGUACAAAUGUUACCACUCAAGCUAAGGUGUUAUUCGUCAACCGUUAUUUGAUCUUAACAAGAACAAUUACAUGACGUUUUUACCAAGAAUAUAAGUGAAGAAUAUAUAUAAGAGGCUUAGAGAAUGUAAAAAAUGUCAUAUGACAAUGCUUUUACCAAGGUAUUGGAAGCCCAUGGUGGAGCAGCCGACCCUCCCUCUUCCUCUACAUCGGUGAUCGCAGAAGGAGAAGGCUACGUGAUCGCAGAAGGAGAAGGCUAGGACCGUCAUGCCUUCGCCUUGGCCAUGCCGGCAGUCUCCACCGUUGUGCUGGGUCACGCUGCUGAACUCGAUCAGCGCCAUGCAUCAUGGGCGCCGCACGCUCCACCUCAACAACGAGCUUCUCUGAGCCCCAUCUCCGCCAUCGCGCAGGGUCAUGCUGCCAACUCGGUCGUACGUGCUGUCCUCUCCACCUCCGCUGCGGUGCUGUGUGUGUUUUUUUAGCGGAUGAGUGAGCGAAAGGGGAGAGGAGAUGAAGGGAUAAGUCUGCACUCUUCGGGCUAUGAUGGAGAGUAGCUAUGGGACCCACCCUAAAGUGACACUUUCACUAGGAUAACUUUUGAGUACUAGAACGAUACUUUCAUUACAUAACAAUAUUAACCUCCCUUUCUUCACCUCCCUAUAUAACAAGGCUGGAAUCCAUUGAAGCCCCACAACUAAACUAAAAUAAAAUAAACGGUGGGUACAGUGUGAAGGGAAGAGAUGGAAUGGUAACAACAUUGACCUCCCCUCCACCUCCCUAUAUAAGAGGGUCUUGAAAUCCAUUGAAUUAAGCCAUACAACCUAAAUAAAAUAAAAUAAAUGGGAUGAAGCCCCGCAACCAAAACAAAACAAAACAAAACAAUAAAAUACAACAAAAUAAAUAGGGCGAUGUGAAAGGGAGAUGGAAUGAGGUGCUGUGAAGGGAGAGAUGAAGCAAAUUUGUUUGUAGUAUUGUAUUUAUAUACAAAGUACUCCCUCCGUCCCUGAAAGUUUCAAUUUCUAGAAUCUGUGCCAGUCAAACUUGUUUAACUUUGACCAACUUUAUAUAGAAAAGAGCAUCAAUAUGUAUAACAUAAAAUGAGUAUCUUAUGAAAAUAUAUUCAAUGAUAAAUCUAAUUAUAUUAAUUUGGUACUAUAAAUCUUAGUGUUUUUUUCUAUAAAUUUGGUUAAAGUUUUAAAAAAUUGACUUAAUACAACUCUAGAAAUUGCAGCUUUCAGGGUGAUAUGAAGGAGAGAGAUGUAGCAACUUUGUUUGUAUUGUAUUUAUAUAUACAAAGUAAAUAAAACAUUGACCUCCCAUCCACCACCUCCCUAUGACCCUAUAUACAGCAUUGACCUCACCUCCAAACCUUCCUAUAUAACAGGGCCCUCGUAUCCUAGAAGCCCCACAACCAGGAGUUGCAAGGCACAUCUCCUUCCUCUUCGACCCUUCUCCAUAUUCAGGUAAAUAACAUUUGCCGUAACAUCUCGAUCAUUUUUGUGUUCUUGAUUACUCCUUAUUGGAAGCCUUCUCGUUUAACAAACAUCUUAUCAGCCGUUCAAAUCUUUGGACCCUUGUAAAUCUUGUUCGCCAGGCCGUGCAGUGCAGGCAAGCCGCCAUAUAUGAGCAACGGCAACCGGAGCAGCGGCGGGAGGGGCGCGAGGUUGGAGCUGCAGCUGCACCUGUCGCCGCCUCCGGCCGGAAGGAUGGAGGUGGACGGAGGCCACGGCAGCGACUCGUCGUCGUCCCCGAGCUCGUGCGUGUCGUCGGACGGCAGCCCAGGGAGCAAGUCGCCGAUGGUGAUCGGCGCCUGCACGCGGUGCAUGAUGUACUGCAUGGUGGCCAAGAGGGACUUCCCCACCUGCAUCAACUGCAAGCAGCCCUGCCUCGUGGACCUCCUCCACAGCGCCGGUGCCGGCGCUGGCGGCAGCGGCGGCGCCGCGGGCGACGGCGGCGACAAGAGGCGCGGCAACGGCAAGUGAAGGACGGUCAGUCAGUCAGUCAGCGUGCCCGUCCGUACAGUGGAUGCUCAUACGGAUGGUUAGCUCAGGUCGUUUGUGCUUUGGUGGCUUGAUGCUGAUCUCGAGGCGCGGUUGGGGGAGUGACCGCCGUUGGAUCAUCCACUGGACGGACAUGGCCUAUUUGGUUUAGUACUAGGCUAGCAAUCCUAGCAUAGUACUCCUAGCUGCUGAUGUUAUUACUAGCUACCUUUAUUUAUGAUGUUGUUGGUUGUUUAACCGUGUGGUAUGGGUACGUAUGUGAUCACCGGCGGUUCAUCAGUGGUUAUUAUUGUUGUGGGCAAUGGUUUUUAGGUGUAACAAAUGCUCUGUUUAAAUGAAGAAUGCGAUCUUUCGAGGGCUGUUUCUAGAAACGACAAUGCACAUUAACCAGUUCGUGCUGCACAUGCACAAAAUGAGUUUUAGCGUGUGCUUGCAACGUGACUAUUUCAACAGUGGUUUAAUUUUAGGCUCUAGUACUAGUACAUCUAUUUGCUGAUGCUGACCAGUCAAAAAGAUGUACUCCUAUUUGCUAACUUUGACGGGUCAAAACGAUAAGCAUACCAUUCAAUGAUCACUUACAAGUUCCCUUCUAAAAGAUAUGUGGUUGCUUUUUUAAGGCCAAUCUCAGUGUGGAGUUUCAUAGCGUUGUUUCUAAAACGGCCAUGUCAUAUGAAAUGAAAUAAAACUUGAAUGAAACACUCAUUCUCAAUGGAGAGUUUCAUUUCAUAGUUUCAUAGGCAUUUAAUUCCAAGACUCAUAAAGAGUUGGUAAUCGUGCCAAGAGAGUUUCAUCUUGUCUCUCCUCUUAAAUACACCGUUAUGUCAUCAAAAAUGCCUAUGUGACAACUAAUUUAAUGCAAAUAAAACUCAUAUGAAACUCUCAUUGAGGCUGGCCUAACAAGUUUCAUCCUCAUUGAAGAGGAAUAAGACCAUCUACGUAUCAAAACAAAUGAAACUUUAAGGACAAGCAAUUCAAAAUGACCAAGGCCUCCAUAGGAUGCCAAGAGUUACACUGCUGCAUUCUCGGGAGUCCAAAAAACCUCUACCAUGAGGGCUUGUUGAAUAUCACACCGUUACAGUUGGGCCCAUAGCCGAAUUCAGGAGGUCCCAGAACCUGCAAAAGAGAUUUAGGUUGACAAUUGUCAAAAACAAUUCUAUUCAUUGUUAUCCAUAUUAUGACUACAAAAUGGUUGUCGCACCAAAAAGUAAAAGGGAUCAAACAGUUUUAUCUUUCCAAGAAUACCAUUCACUAAAUAAGUGUGGGGGCAUUUCAAGGUGGAUUAAUUCCUAACACCAUGUGGACUACUCUCCAUAAAAAUGGCAUGUGACCAUUUAAAGAAAGGUGUUGAAUGGUUUCUAUUGGGGGCUCAACCUUGCCUUCCCCUAAUUGGUCGCUCCGGAGGAUUGUCUUCAUCAUAAACCUCCAUCCUGCGACCCUUCGGAUGUUAUGGCUCGAAGGUUCUGGGUAAAACUAACGGUAACGCGUCUUGUGUGGUGCUGGGUGGAUGCAGGAACCAAGCCGGUGGUGGAGGCCGCGAGGAAUGAAGGAGAGAACCUUCAGAUGUCUCCCGCGUCACGCGUCAGAGGAUGGGCGAGAGCAUGUCUGAGGACGCAGGGACGACGAGGAACCUCUGGCGUCCUCGCGCCGAGGGACCUUCGGUGUCUCCGGGCCGAAGGAUCAGCGCCUGUCCGGAGGUUCGUGUCCCGACAGGAUGGAAUUCCGAGCAUGGAGUGCGUGUGGGGGUCAUAGUGUGAAAUUACUUAAAUGACUUGUGGUCAGUAGACUGUAACGAAAGGAUAUGCCGGGAUAUUCCCUCACCGUCACGGGGCAUUUUUAUAAUAGUGUCAGGUCGGUUUCCGUGCCCUAUAUAAGGGAGUGUAACUACUCUUAAAAGGGAGAGAGAUCAUUUACUAUUCCCACCUACUGUUGAGCUUGUUGUCCCCAAUCACUCAGCGCGUGAGCAGACACCUCGGGCAUCGUACAGCUAAGGAGUGCAGGUGCGCAUUUCCCAACAGUUCCAGGUUUGCCACAAAAACAGCAUGGCUUGUGAAAAUUCCAGUUUCUCUUUGCUAAAUUGUCCAAAGUGAGAAUGACUGCCACUCUUUUAAAAACCGAAAGAAAGAUUUUAAUCUUCAAAGGGAUCGUUAGCCACCAAAUUAUUUGUGAAAGUUUUAAAUUAUUUCUGAUUAAGUAACUAUACAUUGAGUUAACUAUGAACGGCCCCAUUUAAUUUAAUCUCCAAACAGAAGUAUCAUUACCAUGUGUUAUAUUAGCCACUCUCGCUACUAGGUGAUUCCAUUCUAGUAGCUUGUUUCCUAUUAAAGUCCUUCUAAACUCAAAUUGAGUUGAAUCGUGCUUAAUACAUCUACAACCUUUGCUUGUUUCUUGUGAGCAAUAUUGAACAAUGUCGGGUAUUAGGUUUUCAGGAGUUGGUAUCCUAAAUAGGUAUCUUUCUAGUACCUGAAGGCAACCAAACUCAAGAAUGUUUCUUUUACACCCAUGAGGCUCAUAAAAAUAAGUCUCUUGCUCUUUUCUCAACUUGUGACAAGGUCUUAUCUUUAAUAUAUUUGUUUCUCUAUAAAACUAGACAAAUUCCUUAUUUAUUAGUUAAUUUAAAAUUAAAAAUCCACUUUGUCAAUAAUCACUUAUUUUGUAAAUCAAGAUUCAUAAUGCCUAAACCCCUUGUUCUUUGGGUUGACAUAAUAGGGCCCAGUGAACUAGUCUUUGGGUGAUUGUUAUUUUGUCAAAAUAAUAUCUUGAUCUAUAAUAAUCUAUUUCUCUUCAAAACAGCUCUAGUGACAGUAAAUAAUUAAAGAGAGCAUAGGCAUCAGAAGGCUCAACAUUAUUGAAUUAAUCAGCACCAGUCAACUACAGACAAAUGCUUGUCUUUUCCAACUGCUAAGUCUUUUUUCCAUUCAUAGACAUGCUUAGGGACGCUACCAGCGUAUAGGUGACCUCAUCGUCAUGCCACGUCGCCCACCUCGCAUCACCACCAUCGUAACUUGCAUCACAUCACACCCACACCCACCAGAUGUCCUCAACCACCUCGAUAGCUAUGUCCUUGUCACUUCGCCAUGCAUUCUGCCAUCAUCAUGUGUUAGCUACCAUCAAUAACCAUCUCUCUAGACCUCAUCUUAGUUUCUUUUGCAAUUCUAGAACUAGAUUGAACCCUAACUAACCUUCCUACUACUUAUUAUUGACUCAGACUGAUGAUCCAUCAUGAUAUAUUUAUUUUCCCCAGAAUUAUCAUGAUGAUUAGUAAAAAUAGGUCAUAGGUGUUGCAAAAUGCUCAAUGAGUCAUAAAAUCUAACAUGGACAAACAAUAAUGGGAAUGAGCAUGCCACAUGGUGCAAACUAAAAUCUUUUUUGUCCCUCUCUUUUACUCCCUCUGUAGCUGAAAGCUUGAACCCUUAGAAUCCAUAUCAGUCAAUCUUUUUUUAAGUUUGACCAACUUUAUAGAAAAGAGCAUCAAUAACUAUGACAUAAAAUGAGUAUAUUAUGAAAACAUAUUCUAUGAUAAAACUAAUGGUAUUAAUUUGGUACUAUAAAUCUUAGCAUUUUUUUAGAAAUUCGGUUAAAGAUUUAAAAGUUUGACUUAUGAUAACUCUAGAAGUUGAAGCUUUCGGUGAUAGCGGCAGUAUAUCCUAUGCAUAAUCCAUUUAGGUUAAUUAGUUUUCAUUUGGCUAGUGACAUCAUCAAUUGAAGCAUAACCAUUAGAGGGCCAAGGAGCUAUUAUAUGUUGAGGUAUAAAUAAUGACCUUUAUUUACGUUCAUUCUUGGAAAUGAUAUAUUGAUUGCAUGGAGGCAACAUAUAUAUAGGUAAAUAGGUUAAUCUUGUCUAACUAAUUUUAGAGAGAAUCAAUUUCUUGAUUUUGAUCACGAGUCUCUUAUUUGAAGACACAUGUGUUUUCCUGUUUGGUCAAAGAGUGGGGGUUUCUCUACACAUGCAAAUUAAGUGCAUCAGCCUUGUUAUCAGUUUUGGUGAGUUUCACAUCAAAGUGCUAAUGCCUAUAUUGAGUUAUGGAUAGGUUUCAUACCAUGAAGUGAAACAAUUAUGAUUGGCGACCCCUGAAGUUUAAUUCAGUUUGGAAUUAUAGCAUUUGGAUAAAGAACUCCAGUUUAAGUUAUUUCUAUUUCUAAAACUAAGUAUGGAAUGUUAUAAUGUAAAGGGGAUUGAAGUUUGCUAUAUUGCAGGUUGCCAUGAUAAAUGAACCUUGUGAGACACAACCUCAACCCUUAGGCUAUUAUCUAUUUUUGUUUUAUAAUAAGGUUCAAUGACAGGUGCGUUGACUAGAUGCCUAGUCCAAAGUUUGGUUAGUUCGCUCAGAUUUGUUGGACAUAUGGUCUGUCCCUUUAGGUUGUUCUGAGGAUGCUAGAGUGUGCUAACCUUCUACAACAUGAUGUUUGAUACUUAAUGUACCAGCUAGUUUUUGGUUGUGAGGGUAUAUAUACUCUCUUCACCAACGUACAAACAAAAUUGACUUGAGCUCAUUUAACCCUCCACUCCUCUCUUGUGAUACCUUUUUUUGAGACUUUAGUUGGUAUUGAGCGGAGAAGAUUGGGUUCAGUGAUUCAAGUGGUGAACUUAAUCGCCAAUUGAAAGAGCAUUUGUAUAUUUGUUCAAGUUUGAAUUUGAGUUGUCCCUGACCACCGCGAUCAUGGCCAUGGGCAUCUGGGGAGGGCCACGCCCCUUGCCUCGAUGAUCCUGCGUACCAUGGCUGGCGAUGGCGCGUCCUCUUGAGUAGUCACGGUUUCCGGCCAUUAGGGCGUCCCGAUAAGAGAGUACUGGGGCGGUGGUGUGGAAUACCUGAGCGGCGGCGGCGUGGAAGGCGGAGAUGUCUAUCAGCUGACUCUUAGGUCCACCGAGAGCCGGUGUUGCGAUAGGGCAGAUCGUGACGUCCCGGAUCGUGGUGUUGUGUUUCCUUCCGCUUGGCGUUCGUGGUCCGGUCCGGUCGGUUCGGGGGUUUCGGGUCCGGUGCAGACACCCCUAUUCGCGGUCUUGUAGUUUGAAAUCCCUUUGAUUUAGGAUCUCGGGCGCCGUCGCAGACGGUACGCUAAUCCGGUCCAGAGGUGCGACGAACACCAUCUCCCGGCGGUCCUCGCUGAGAUGAUGGGAGGAUGAAAUCACCCAGCUUUGCCGCCGGCGUGACUCGUCGCGGUGGGAGAGGACCCCUCCAAAGCCCCUUCCACGGCGCCCGGACUACCUUUGGAGAUGGCGAUGUCGUAGCUGGCAGCGGUGGAUGACGGGGCCGCGUGUUCGUGAUCCUCUCAUGAUGGAUCGGAGAGGUUGACGCUGGCUGUUGGAUCGUCGGGGUGAUGGCGACGCAGCACGCAAGAGUUUCCGCCGUGCCCAGGUCCUCGCACUCCGAAACAGAUUCGGGAUCCUAGAAUUUGCCCGAGACGACAUGAUCGGGAGGUGUUGGUUCCUUCGCCGUGAUGUGCCGUAGUGCCCUCCGUAUCGACGGCGCAAUCGACACGGGAGUAUGGCAGGCGGACCUGUCUAUGACAUGUGAACCUAGUGACAGUAAAGGGAUUGGAAAUUUUCUCCAUGGCAUAAGGGGGAAUUAACUCAAAUAAUUAAGAUCCUCUUGCAUUCACAUGUUAGGCCUUGUUUAGUUCCGAAAAGAUUUCGGAUUUCGGUACUGUAGCACUUUCGUUUGUUUGUGACAAAUAUUAUCCAAUCAUGGACUAACUAGGAUUAAAAGAUUCGUCUCGCGAUUUACAGCUAAACUGUGUAAUUAAUUUUUUUUUUGUCUAUAUUUAAUGUUUUAUGCAUGUGCCGCAAGAUUCGAUGUGACGGAGAAUCUUGAAAAUUUUUUGGUUUUUGGGAUGAACUAAACAAGGCCUUAUAAUGGACGGCAAACGGAUUCGUUGUGUUUUAAAUGAAAAAAACAAUCUGUGGGUCGAGAUCAGAACUUGUGUCGCAUUAUCCUGAGGUAUUCUGAAGUGACCUCGAGCUAUUUAUCUUAGGAAAACCAACUGGCAUCGGCAGUAUUCCCAACCCGACCGCAGCUGGACCGGUGAUUUGCUUUCCUGGGCCUGGGCUGCUUCCUCCUCAAUUACUGUCGAUGGGCCUGAGGGCCCACGCUCCUCGUAUCUUCUUCCUCCUUCCGUCCUUACCGUCCUUGGCAAGGGUGGGGGAAUGGCGGCGCCGCACCACUCUCUCACUCUACUCCACUGCCGCCGCAGCUUCCGCCGCUCGCUCAGCUCGCCCCCCACAUCCGGGCCACCUUCAGCCACCUCUGCCAGGCAAGGCCCCCUCUCAGGCCAACAACACCUUGAUCUCAUUCUUUUCUCCAUCGAUUUGUCCUGCCUUUUGUUUUCUUUAGUUUCAGCUCUCUGAUUGCAACUUGCAAGUAGCCAUCCUGUCCAUUUACGUUACCAACUUCGUAUCUAGACUAGAGAGGCAGCGAAUGCUGCUUGAGUUGUGAUAUGCUUGUUGAUUGGAUUGGUUGGAGUUCUGUAUCAUCUGAAGGAGGGGCAGAUCAUCUAGAACCUUCUUCCAACAUUGAUGAACUUCUUGGUUCACACAUAUGUAGUGUAAUUGAAGGGUCACAUGAAAAACAUCAGAAUCCUGAUGUGUUUGUCUUUAGUAAACUGUCAGAAUAUUUAGUGAUCAAGAACAAAUCCCAUCUCAAACUCAAGAUGAGAACAUUACAUAUUAACAGGACUGAAGUUAUAACAGAUUAUGGUCAGUCUAUCAAUUAUCAGAAUGUUAUACUUGAGAAGGACCAAAACAGUGAGCUUUUUGUAAUUUCUGAAUACUUUUAUGCAGGCUGGUACAGGUUGUUUUGCUGACGAGAAAAGCAUUGCCAAGCAUGUUCAGCCUGAUCGGUACCACGUUGCUGCAGCUAUGCAGCCAUAAGCCUUUGCUACAGUAUUUCUUACUGUACACUCUGCCUACGGCAGCGAUCACAGCCAAGUGGAGCCGUUGAAUUCGUGCAGGAUGCAUAUAACAGAAUCAUGCAGGCCGAAUCAUGAAUCUCACUGUGGGUGACAAUAUAUUUUUUUUCAAUCUCUGGUACUAGUGUCAAGUUAGCAUGCUCUGCUCUUUCCCGUAGUAUAUACCUUUCUGGUACUAGUCUUGAGGAUCAGUGGACAAGUCAAUCUUGUGAAAUCCUAAUUAAUGCUAAGUUUGUCUGAAAUAUCACAUCGACUGCACCUCUGGUCAGAGAUAAAAGGCCCUACUAGCUAGGACUGAUGUUUGGCCUGAGGACAAGGGUUUAGAUCACUGUAAUGUCAUGCAAGUUGAUACUGGCUUACGGACGUACUUCAGAUUCAGAACAGGUAGAAUGUCACCCAGGUGGCGCAGAUGACAAGGCACCAUGGAAUCUUUCAUUUUGCUCAAUUCAUAAAUUAUGCAGGGAUGUUAUAAUUUGGUAGAUAAUUAUGGAGGGAAAAAUAGAGCAAUAUGGAUGGAAAUAUAGAUCAGGCUGGAAAAUGAAACAAAAUCUGUUCAUCUGCUAACACAAAAGCAACCACAUCUAUUUCAGUGGAAUCUGCAUCCCAUUGUCAGCUGAUCAGCUCAACUACUUAUACAGUAAGCACUGAUGCAAGCUGUAAAUGAGCAAAAGAUCUCAAAGGACAUAAAUGCUUCUUUGGAUAAAAGUGUUGCUAAAAUGCAUGAGCUACUACUAAUAAAUUUUCCUUAUCCAAGUGGUAUGGUUGAGAGUCCACAAUCAGAUCAGGUAACAUAUGAUGCCCUGACUACUCUGUUUUUGAAACUGCAACACUCCUAAUCUUUCUACUCAUUAAUAUUCAGAAUCGUUUCAACUAGUUCGAGUGAACACUGUCUUUUUGUGAUGCAUACCUUUUCUUUUCUGUCAAUUCUCUAAAGUAAGUUGGAUAGAAAACGAAAAAUAACUUGGUACAUAUUAUGUCUAUCUUCCAUAUAAGUCUAAAGUAUUGUUGCUUUUAUAGAAAAGCGAAGGCCUAAACUAAGGCCUGAGCAUUUCAAGAAGAAAAUACACGAAAUAACUAAGAGGAGUGAUCGAAGAUGCAUGAGGUUUUAUUUCACUCUGACAAGAAUGUGCUGAAAGUUUCCAUCCCUGAAUCAUUUUGUAACAAAGGAAGACUGAGAAAUCUCUGUUUCAAGUUCGACUGAAAUUCAGAGCCAUUCUUUGUGGUUCCUCCAUGUGUGGCCUGGGUCUUUAACUUAGAUCUCAACUUUCAGGUUUUGUAUACGAAAGCGGCCCUUUUGGCUCAUGUUUCACGUCUGGUCAAAUCAAUCUUGCGCCCAAUGGCUGAUAUGUCUGGCUGGCAGUUCCACUUGGCUCACUACCAUUGAUACACAAGCCCAUGAAAUCUGUUGGAUACCUGAAGGUGUGGCAGAGAACCCUUGUUACCGGGCAUUCACUGCUGGUGACUCCUAAAUAUGGACUGCUAAAUCCAUUCCUCUUGGCUUUACUAGGAUAUCACUUAGAUUAGCAAGAAAAACAUUCCUCUGCAAUCAAGCCAAAGAAAGCGCACGCUUUUCCUAAGCUAAGAAUGUGGUGCCUAAGAAGGAAAUAUCAUUUGUUCCUAUCUAUGACCAAGACUAUGAAUAGUCAAAAGAUUCAGAUAAGCAGACAUAAUAAAUAGAGUAAGUACCAGAUAUUAUCAUUAGUUUGACCAUCGAUUGAAUAGGUACCAUGAUUCUUGAAAUAUAUAAAGGUCAGGAAGCAUGUAGAAGUUGUGUUGGUUUUACUGUUUUGCCAAUGUGCAAAGUUAACACAGCAAUCUGGUUAUCUUUUUCCACAUACUAGCAGGGUUAUUAAUUCUGCAUUAAUUCGAUUAUCGUGUCAUUUUACAGUUUUGCCAAGUACUAUUGUGCCUUUGUCAGUUUGUCGUACAUGUAAGAAAACGUCGGCCGCCUACCUUGCAGUCUCCAUCAGUAAAGCUGAUCAUCAGUGGGAGUAGAUCCAAAUGUUCCAAUCAUUUAACCUUUACAGAAUAUGACUUGCUCGUGCGCUCUGUACCACAUAGUUUCUCUCUGGUUUUAUUUAUCUCCUGAUCGAUGGAUGUGCGUAUAUAUAUACAUGGUUCUGAACUUCUGAUUCAUCCAAGACAACAUUUGCUAGUGUUCUACUAGUACUUUAUGUAUGAUGUAAACAUGAAACUGCAUCUGCACUUUCUUUGUCAAUAUGACUUUGUUGGUUUAUUUUGUUUGAAUUCCAUUUCACAAGAUAUGUAAAUAGCAUUUAUCACGAUUGUUGGUACACCGAAUUCACAACUCCAAUAGGAUGAUAUGAUCUUAAAGACAUGAUGAGAAUGAAGAUCAGAGAUUUUCUUUUUACUGUAAACAGGAGGGGUUUCCCCCUGCUGUGUAUUUAUUUAUUAAGAAAAUGCGAACCAGCUUACAUAAAAGUUCAAGAGACAAAAAAAGGGAAAGAAAGUAAACAAAUAAGCAAAAAUUACAAGAUGGCUUCUAGCCAUUGUUGUAUGGAAGGAAAGUAUAUGUUAUAUGGAUGUAAAUAAGUACUUCUUUGCUCUGUGAAUAACCAGAGCAAACUCCAAUGCCAUAUAUAUUACACAUACAUGAUAGCCGGAGCUUGCAUUCACAUAUAUGUUCCUCACCCAACGCUAGUUGCAGUAGUUUUUUCUAGCAGGUAUAUGUAGGGGGAGAGAUCGAUCGAGAUGGAUGAUGCCAACAAUGGAUACAUCAGCAGCAUAUAUAGAAGCAAAGGAACCAACAGCAGCAAAAGGUGAAAAAAAGAAGAAGAAAGAAACCAAGGUGUGUGUGUGACCCCAAGGAUGCAAAACCGAACGAACAGGUUGAGAGGCAGCAGCAGGCAGCCAUAUGCCAUUAGCUCACGCAGGAGCUAGCUAGCAGUUUAAUCACUCGCUGCCCGCGGGCUUGUAGGCGAUGAAGCUGACGCACUGCGUCUGCUUGAUGUUGUCGAAGCCGAGGAUCCGGACGUAGGCGUCCGGGUAGGAGGCGAUGGCCUCCUGCAGCUCCUUGUAGACCUGCGACGCGUCGGUGCAGCCGAACAUGGGCAGCUUCCACAUGGUCCAGUAGCGGCCGUCGUAGUAGCACGGGGAGGUGGAGUUCUCGCGGUACACGAAGCCUUCCUUGCUGAACUCGAGGCAGGGCACCCAGUUGUUGCGCAGCAGGUAGUCCACCUGCUUCAGCAGCUGCUCCUCCGUCAGCGGCGGCAGGUACGACAGCGUCUCGAACUUCUUGUUCCCGUACGCCGGCCACACCUGCAAAUUAAUGCAUGCAUCGAUCGAUGUACGUGUUUGUGGUUGCAUUUCGCUAGCUCUGCUGCAAAGAAUGAAUGAAGAUGGCCGGCCGGAGCCAAGAACGAAAGGCCAACUAGCUCUUGUGUUAAUUAUGUUGUUAUUACCUGCAUGCACCGGAUCCUGCCGCCGUUGCUGACUUUGGCGAGGCUGGUGGUGGAGCGGCGGGCGACGGGGAGGGUGGCGGUGGACUUGAGACCCUGGAACGGAGCGACGGCGGUGGCGGACGAGGCCAUCACGGUGGGCGCCAUUGCUGCUGCUAUGUAGUACUAGUAGCUAGUGAGGGAGCGAGCUGAGAGUGAGCUGCUUGCUGUUUUUGCUGCUUCUUGCUGCUUGG